AAUAUAGAGUGGAAGUGAUGUUUUGGUGAGUUGGGGUACAUGGGGUUGAUGGAAUGGCAAAGAAAGAAGAAGUUUGGUUGCAUGGGUUCUACGUAUUAGUGAUGAGAGAAGUAGAAGGGGUUUUAGUUGUGUGAAGAGAAAAUAAGAAGAAUGGUGUGGGUUCUAAAGGUUUACGUAAAUGAUGGAAGGGAAAGAAGUUAUGUUUGGGGUUUUUGGGUGAAGAAGAAAAGAUAAGAUAAGAAGAGGGUAGGGGUAGUAAGUGACGUAAAAGUGAGGGUGAACAAAGGUGGGUUGGGUUGAAAAGUCAAAGAAGAAAAAGAAAAAUGGGAUGAAGGUGUGAGUGCAUGGGAGUUACGUAAAUUAUGUAGAAUUCUGAGUGGGGAAAAUCAAAAUGAAAUAAAGAGUGGAAGGAGGUGGGGCCAUGAGCUUUAAUGAGGGAGAGAAAAGAGAAAAAUGUAGUGUGAUUGGAUGAAGAAGGGAGAUCUACGUAUAUGGUGUGAAAGAGAGAGAAAAUGAGAGAGUGAAGAUGAGUUUGGAGGUGGACCCGCGUGGGGCCCACCUGGGUGAGAGAAAAUAUUUUUUUUAAUUAAAAUGGUACAAUGGGUCCCAUUUGGACAAGUGGUUGGAAAGGGAGUGUGUUUAGAGGAGAAAGGGGGUAUAUUGGAAAAAGUGUGUUUUACUAUGUGAUGUGAUUUUAGUAAAAGCGGGGGUGCACUAGAAAUAUUGGUUCUAGUGGAUGAGAGGGUGAGAUUAAUAAUUUCACAGGGGUGCGAAAGUAGGAAAAUAAUUAAAUUAUUUUUAUUGUGAAAAAUUGAUUGAUUUAAUUAUUUGAGUAUUUUUAAUUAAUUGUUAGUCAAUGAAUUUGGUUGACUUUGAAUAUGCGGGUGAUAUGUGUAUGGUUGUGAUGGUGAAGUUGUGAGAGUAAGUGUUCUGUCAUUUCCUUAGAAUUUUUUCGAACUGGUGGUGUUCGUAUUGCGAUACGAUAGUGUGUUGAGUUCUCUGCGGAGACUGAGAUUUGAGUGUCACCCUAUCCUCAUGCGUGGGGACUAGAGAGGGUUGGAUGUCUCGCCCAAUGACUUUGGCUCGUGUGAGUAUAGUGCUCGGUGGGUGCGCCUAACCGAAGUUUUUACUCGUAAUUCCUUGAGGAGUCGGGGAGAUAGGCCUGAAGUUGCGAUGGAAGGCGGCUNGAAGUUGCGAUGGAAGGCGGCUCGAAUCGCCCUGUUUUGCGAAACAGGUCUGGUACGACAAAAUUCGAGGAAACAACAGAAGCUUGUGUAAAUAAUGUGAGUUAUGAGUUUAAUACUAUGAUGUAUUGUAAUGUUAUGACUAUGAUGGUCCAGGUGGUGAUGAUUUGAGUUAUGAGUUGAAUACUCUGAUGUGUUGUGAUGCGAUGACUACUUUAGUCUAUGUUAUGAUGUGUUGAUUUUGAAAUUAUAUGCUAUGUUAUGUUCUUAAUUAUUCACCCUUUACUUUUGUGGUUGUGGUUCCACCUGCAAUGAUCGUACUUGUACGGGAGUAGAUGGCAGUGCAGAUAAGGCAAGACAGGAGUAACACGAUGAGAGAACGGGAAAUUUUACUGAUGGGAUUUAUUUAUGUUUUAAAGUUAUUUUAUGUUUUCGAAUAACGGGUUUGAUUAAUAUGUAAGGUAUGAAAUUCAGUUGUAAUACGUUCAGACGAUUAAUGCUUUAUUUCCUUCCGCAAUUUUAUAUAAACGUUUAUAAGCGACGAUAUUUAAAUGAAAAAAAAAUUGGCAUAAAUUUCAGAGCUUUAUUAUUUUCAAGUGGCACUCCGUUAGGGGUGUUACACCAAGCCUAGAGUUAUAUAACAAAACCUGCUGGCCAACCUCGAAGUCCUUUCUAAUAAUGGAACUAUCAUGGAACCUCUUGGUCCUUUCUUUAUAGAACUUUGAGUUCUCAUAGGCCUCCAAUCGGAUCUCAUCCAAUUCAUUCAGUUGCAACUUCCUUUCCUCUCCAGCUUGGUCAAUGGAGAAGUUGCAAGUCUUCAAGCCCAGUAUGCCCGAUGCUCAAUCUCAACUGGUAAAUGACAUGCCUUUCCAAAGACAACCCGAUAGGGAGACAUCCCAAUGGGUGCUUUGUAGGCAGUCCUAUGAGCCCAAAGAGCGUCGUCCAAUCUAUUGCUCCAAUCCUUUCUGUUGGGUUGUACAAUCUUCUCCAAAAUCCUCUUAAUCUCCCUGUUGGAGAUCUCAGCCUGCCCAUUUGUUUAGGGGUGGUAAGGUGUAGAAACUCUGUGCGUCACCCCAUAUUUCUUGAGCAAGGCUUGCAUGGAUCUGUUGCAAAAAUGGGUCCCCUAAUCACUAACAAUUGCUCUAGGCACUCCAAACCUGCAAAAGAGGUGAGAUCUAACAAAAUCUACAACAACCCGAGCAUCAUUAGUCGAGAUGGCUCUAGCUUCCACCCAUUUUGAAACAUAAUCCACAGCAAGGAGAAUAUAAGAGAAACCAAAAGAAACAGGAAAAGGACCCAUGAAAUCUAUACCCCAGACAUCAAACACCUCACAGAACAACAUAGGCUGUUGAGGCAUCUCCUGUCUUUGUGAAUUAGGUCUGUCUGCUCUCUGACACGGCUCACAGGUGCUACAAAUCCUCUCCGCAUCCUUGAAGAUGGAAGGCCUGUAGAAACCGUAAUCAAGCACCCUGCGAGCUGUUCUUUGAAUCCCCAGAUGACCACCAGGUGAGGAGGCGUGACAAAACUACAGGAUCGAGUCAAUCUCAUGGUCCGAAAUGCAACUCCUAGUAACCUGGUCACUGCACAACUUCCAUAAAUAUGGGUCAUCCCAAACAUAAUACUUAGCAUCACUCUUAAUUUUAGCAAUNUGAGCACGUGAUGCUAAGGGAGGAAAGACAGAAGCAACCAAAUAAUUCACAAUGUGUGGAAACCAAGGAGUAGGGUGAGAAGAAGAAAUCAUUAGCAAACUCAUCAGGAAAGUCAUCUUGGAUGGUCAACACAUGAGCCUAAUCCUCAGCUCUCUCAAUCCUGUUGAGGUGGUCAGCAACCAAAUUUUGUGCUCCACUCCGGUCUUUGAUUUGCAAGUCAAAUUCUUGGAGUAGUAGCAUCCACCUGAUCAAUCUUGGCUUUAACUCAGCCUUUUUCAACAGAAACUUCAGAGCUGCAUGGUCAGUAUACACAAUAACAGGAGAUCCAAGCAAAUACAACCUAAACAUAUCAAGGGCAAAAACAAUUGCCAACAACUCUUUCUCAGUCGUAGUGUAGUUUGCUUGGGCAGCAUCCAAAGUGCGUGAGGCGUAGUAGAUCACUCUAGGCAGCUUGUCAAUCUUCUGUGUCAAGACAACUCCCAAGGCAUAAUUUGAUGCAUCACACAUGAGCUCAAAUGGGGUUGUCCAAUCUGGUGCCUGAAUGAUCGGGGUGGUGGUCAAAGCUUCCUUCAGGCAAUCAAAUGCCUGCAUGCAUCUAUCAUCAAAAGCAAAGUCAAUAUCCUUUUGUAACAGUCUGGAUAAGGGAAGCACCUUCUUGCUGAAAUCUUUGAUGAAGCGCCUGUAGAAACCUGCAUGUCCCAGAAAAGAUUGCACCUCUCGCACACAAGAGGGGUAAGGUAACUUCAAAAUCACAGAUAUCUUAGCAGGGUCUACCUCUAUUCCCUUUUCAGAAAUUAUAUGCCCUAGAACCAAACCUUGUUCAACCAUGAAGUGACAUUUCUCAAAAUUGAGAACAAGGUUUGUUUCUAUGCAUCUUUUCAACACUUUCUCCAGACUAUCUAAACAUGGAUCAAAAGAGGAUCCAUACACAGUAAAAUCAUCCAUAAACACCUCUAUGCAACUCUCAAGAAAGUCGCUGAAAAUGCUAAGCAUGCACCACUGGAAGGUACCAGGGGCGUUGCAUAGGCCAAAGGGCAUCCUCCUAUAGGCAAAAGUGCCAAAGGGGCAGGUGAAUAUGGUUUUCUCUUGAUCCUCAGGAGCAAUAUUGAUUUGGAAAUAACCAGAAAAACCAUCAAGAAAGCAAUAAUGAGAUUUACCUGUCAGACGCUCCAACAUCUGAUCAAUGAAUGGUAGGGGGAAGUGAUCUUUCCUGGUUGCUUGAUUGAGCCUCCUAUAAUCAAUGCAGACUCUCCAGUUGUUCUGCACUCUAGUGGGGAUAAGCUCAUCCCCCUCAUUCUUCACAACAGUGAGGCCAGUCUUCUUAGGCACAACAUGGAUGGGGCUCACCCACUGACUGUUUGAAAUAGGGUAGAUGAUCCCAACUUGCAAAAGCUUCGUCACCUCCUUCUUAAUCACGUCCAUGAUCACGGGGUUUUGCCUCCUCUGUGGCUAUCUCACUAGCUUUGCCCCAUCCUCCAAAAAAAUUCUAUGCAUGCAUGUGGAUGGGCUAAUACCAGGUAUAUCAGCCAAACUCCACCCAAUGGCCUUCUUGUGCCUCCUCAGCACAUAAAGAAACUUCUCCUCUUGAACAGAAUCAAGGGAGGUAGAAAUGAUCACAGGCUUCUUCUCAUCAUCCUCCAAGUACACGUACUUGAGGUUUUUUGGGAGCUGCUUCAGCUCAAGAGAGGGUUCCUGCAAGUCAGAUUCAAGUGUACUUCCUGCAACGUGGUUAAGGCAUUCUAACUCUAAAGAAUGUACAGGUAAAGGNAGAAAAUCCAUCUCAUCACAAUCCAGAUCAAUAUCCAUCACAGGUAUAUCAACAACAUCAUCAAUAUCACCCAAAUAAUCAAAAACACGCAUAUCAUCAAUAGCUUGGACAUCAUCAAUACCCUGGACAUCACAGUUCUCAUCUAUAUCAUCAUCAAAUUCAACAACAUUUCCAAUUCCUGAUUCAAUCCCAGAUGCUAUGCAUGAAUGUACAGAAGAUAGAAAAGAAUGUUUCUUCUCAUGCAUAGAACGAAAAUCAUCAACAAUGAACUCACCCAUAAUGUCAUCCAAUGUAUCAACUCUAAACACAGAAUGGUCCUCAGCUAGAUAUUUCAUGGCAUCAAGGAUAUUAAAAUUCACAACAAUAUCAGCAAUUUCCAUAGGCAAUGUCCCAGCAUACACAUCAAUCUUGGUACGGGCAGUUUUCAAAAUGGCCUGCCUAGAAUAAUGGGGGCGGAUCCAUGAGAGAAACCGUCCUCCAUCUCCAAAACAUAGAAAUCAGCAGGAAAUAUCAAUUCACCUACCCUAACCAAGACAUCCUCUAUGUAACCUGUCGGGUGGGUAACAGUCCUAUUGGCCAACUGAAUGACCACACCAGUGGUUUGCAAAGGACCAAGAGACAGAUAUGUAUAUAUAGACAAAGGCAUGACAUUUAUGGAUGCACCUAGAUCAAGCAUAGCAUUCAAAUUUAUUGUUCCCAAUCACACAAGGAAUGCAAAACAUACCUGGGUCCUUGCACUUUUCAGGAAUGUGCGGGACCGACUUACCAAUAAGAGUUGAUACAUUCCUUCCCAUGCUGAUCCGUUCAUUGCCCUUCAUCUUCCUCUUGUGUGUGCACAACUCCUUCAAGAAUUUGGCAUAUUUUGGUAUCUGCUUGAUGGCAUCGAGUAGAGGUAUGUUCACCUCUACCUUCCUGAAGGUCUCCAGAAUUUCCCUAUCCACCUCUUCUGUCCUUUUGCUAGGAAGUGCCCGUGAAGGGAAUGGAAGAGGGAUAGGUCGGUCAACUAAAGGAGAAGGUGCGGUAGUGGUGGUGGUGGAAGAGGGAGAAGAUCCACCUGAAGAAGAACCACCGGCUGGAGAAGAAGAUCCACCCACCUCAAAUGCCCUGCGUGGACCGUCAUGGUCAUCCUCUCUAGGACAAGUGGCAGGCAUGUGUGUAGGUGUAGAAGCGGGCUUUGAAGGCACAACAAUCUGCUUCCCUGAUCUGAGGGUUAUGGCACUCACAUUCCUAGGAUUCUGCACAGUCUGGGAUGGUAACUUAUCAGAAUUCUAAGACUGCGCCUGGUUUAUUUGAGUAGCCAUCUGACCCAUCUGGUUAGUGAGACUCUGUAUGGAAGCUCUAGUCUGCUGCUGAAAUUGCAUGUUAUCUUUCUGAAACUGCAGGUUUUGCAUAGUCAUCUGUCUCACUAACUCUUCCAAUGAAGGUGCAGACGAAGUGGAAGGUUGGGCAGCUGGUUGGGCAGGUGCCUCUUGCUGCUGCUAUUGUUGCCUCUGGUGUUGUUGCAUAGGUGGAGGCACAUAUCUUUUAGGUGCUCCAGCAUUCUCUAAAGACAAAUUCCUAGAAUGCCUAACUAUCCUAUGAAAUGUCCUAUCAAUUUCAGUAUCAAAAGGUGGUAUGAAUCCAGGAUUUCCUCUAGUCAUGCACUAAAUCACAACACCCUCUAAUCAUGAAACAAUAGCACAAAAAUAUCAAAGCAUAGAAAACAACACAAGACACAACAGAGACUAUCACAACACGUCAAAACACAGUCACAAGACACACAAACACAGACAAAAGACUCAAUACUGAACCGUUGGUCCCCGGCAACGACGCCAAAAUUUGAUGGGUUGUCGCAACCCAUACAAAUUUGAUUGCAUAUGAGAAAUGCAGUAUAGCUAGGAAAUGACUCCUAGGUCGCCUCUCAAGGACCAAUUUUUGCAGUUCGAGAAUUAAGUCAGGCACGAAGUAGGGGGAGGUUGUGAAAAGGGUUUUGCAAAAAUUAAAGAAGUCAAUAAAGACACAGAUGCAAACAAACUAAUUUAAGCUAGCAUGGUAAUUAAACUAACACUAUUAAAAACCUUAGACAACAUUAAGAAAAAAUAAAAUAAAAUACUAGACACCAACAAAGUGACAAACAAAUAUCCAACAAAGUUAAAUUAAAUUAAAUGCAAAAAUAAAUUAGAGAAACUAAAAAGCGACUAAUCCUACUAUGCAAAUUAAUUCAAAACUAAGGAAUAAUCAAACAUAAUUUCUUACUAGCAAUUUAAAUGACACAUACACCUACUAAAGAAAAUUAAAUUGAAAAAGGCCUAAAAGGGUAACCUCUCGGCCGUGACACCUCUUCCAAUUGAAACUUCCAUCAAUGAAUCAUCCCAUGUUUCUUUCAAAGUAAAAUAAAAUUCCUUCCUAAGUGUGUGGUCGUGCAGCAUGUUGCCUUCUCUUCGAUCAGUAGUAACAACUAACUCCAAUUGCUAUUCAACAAAGGCUUGUAAUAAAAUGAAUGAUUUUUUUCUUAGAACAAACAAAAUGAAAGUUGAAUGAAUUCAACCCUCUACACCAUGGUACCCCACACUUAUGGAUGUGACAAUACACAUUGCAAAAAGUAAAUCUCCCAUAAUUAAUUCCUAGGAAGCACCGUGCAGUAGGAGGUAAGUCUUUACCCUUCAAACUAAAUUAAUGAAAUGAACCAGACAUGUUUUCUCUUCCAAAACCGUGGCACUUUGCUUCCAACAUUCAGCUGCUGCAUUGUCCCAUCAUCUCUUCAUCACCCAAAAGAAAUCAACCUCCUUCUGCCAAAUAAAAAUAUGAAAUGGACUCUCACAUCAAGCUUCCUUCUCGGUAGAAACUAUUAGCUAAAAACACUCUUCCUUGUUCCCUUCCAGCACGUCAUCAACCAUUCUCACCUAAUAUACUCUUCUCAUUUCAUAAAAAAAAUUAAAACAAAAACGUCCUUCACUCUCCAGCCAUAUACCCUUUACUCUCUACUGCAGCUGACUGUGCCUUUAAAUGAAACAAGUAAACAAUGCAUCCCAAUCAUAGCAAGCAACCCCACCAAACACGUGUUGUCUUGAAGAAAUCUGGUGCAACUUGGCAAACAACUUCAGCCCCCAUAUUGCUAAAUAAAUUAAUUGAAAUGUGCUCUACAAAUGAAGAGAUAAAACGCUACCUCCAAUGGACAAGGGCAUCAUUUCCGUUCCAGCAAAAACACAAUAAAAACAACUCACUCAAAAGUGUAUAAGAGGAACCAAUUAAAGCGAUAAGAGUGUGCUUCUUCCAUUGCAUCAAAAACCCAUGUUCAUACAUUCAAGAACUACCAAAAAAAACGUUCUAGACCCAUAUAUCCAAGUCUCUCAUGUGCUCUCGGUAAAGAGAGGUUUUCCAGCCAACAAAAGUGCAAAAAUCUAGUGUAAGCAAAGUGAUGGCUGGCCCCCCAAAUCCCUAGGUCUCAGAAUUUUUUAAGUGGGUGGGGUCCACCUACAAUAAAACCCUAGAGCCAUGUCAUCUUCCUUUACAAUUGGGCCUAGUCUAACACUGCCAAAAAUUGGCCAAAAAAUAGAAAACUUAGUUUAAAAAGCCUAAUCUACUAAAUUAAAAUUUGACUAAUCCUAAAGUGUCUUUGUGGAGAGUCUUGAAUGAAUUGAUGUCCUCUCUAGUGUCCAAAAUUGUAUCUCCCAAAUUUUCCUGUAAUUAAUAAUGCAAAUAAUUAGCUCAGAAUGUUCAAAUUAAUUAAAAUUAGAAUUUCCAGUCAAAUUAAGCACUAUUAUCAAAAACGGAAAAAUACCGGACAUUUAGGAACAAUUCCCUGAUUAAUUCUAGCACAAUAAACUAAGUGAAAUCAAUAAAAUAUCGACUCAUCACUCACGCAAAAAUAUAAAUCUCCUCUCUAAUGCAGAACCAAAAUAUAGUUGCACAACAAAACCAGACUUGCAGCAAGAAUCCCCUCUUCUGUAAUCUGAACCCACGUCGAACAAUCCUCAACGUGUAAUCAGCACUCUACACAGGAUGCCAAGCCUAUCACAUCAGACUUCACCGGUUGCCAAGCCUUCAAUCAACGCAGUAGUCUUCACAGGAUGCAAAGCCUUCAAAGAUCAAUCAAGAAGCACCUUCCUCGUGCAGAUAAUGAUCACACAGUCAGCGCAGAUAAUGAUCACCACCGUCUUCUUGGAGAAUUCUUGGAGUUGUUAACACAGAGAAUUCAAUCUGAAACAAGAAAUGAAAAUUUCAGUGCGUCAAAAGUCUCACUAAACAAGUCGCGUUCAGUAUAUUUAUAGUUUUCUGUCAAUCAGAUUGUUUCUUAGUCGAAUAACCUAUUAAUCUAGUUGACUGUAUUAAAACAGUUAUAACUGACACUCAACACAUAGGCUCUCAGUCAACAAAAAAAACAACACACAUUUAUUACAGUUGACCAAGUCAUUAAUGUUUAACUAACUUUUAAAAAUAUAGCCGUUGGAGCACGUAAGCAUAACAGAAUUCCAAAACAGAUCAAUAAUACAGUCGAAUGUACACUGGACAAAGUCGACUGACACAUGAAAAAACACUUUGAAAUUCUUUUCAAUCCAAAACGUCACAAAGCACUAAUGUUCAAAAUCUUUACAAAGGUUUUAGAAUAGUCGAAUCCAUUACAAGUGUAUUUGACUGUACUAGAACUUUGUUACACAAUUAUAAGUUCAUAAAUGUGCUUGUGAUUUUUCACUUCCAGAAUGUACUUUUAUCAAAGACAUUUUGUUACACAUUGUCAUACAAGCAUGUUCCACAGAUAUAUCACAUAAUUAACUUAGGAACAUACAACACAGUACAUCAAAACAUGUUCAACAGAUAUAACAACAAGUUGAGAACAAGAACAUGUAAAACAUCAACAUGUGUACUGUUAUUAAACAUUGUGUUGUCAGCAUCAAAAACCAGAUUGAUAUAGAGUUUGUGUUGUCAACAAUCUCAACAGUUUUCAAUCAGUACUACUGAUGGAAGACCAUUAAGGAAUCACAUUGGACCUCUUACUAGGGCUAUGGCAAAGAGAAUUCAAGAAGAAGAGGGAUCACCUACCAUUCUACUUCUAUGGAAAGUUAGCUAUACUAAUCCUUCUUCUCUUAACUAAAACAAUUACACUUUGUUUUGUAGGGCCUAAAUAAAGCUUGGAGACUUUGGGGAAUUUGAAAACAGCAAAGGGACCCAAAAGGAAUUUGAAGAUUGGCUUGCGGAUAGCCAAAUCAGAUGUGCGCCCAGCCUAAACCCCAAAAUAGCCCAGUAGUGGACAAAAGGAUGCUUCCUCACGAGAGUAGAUGACCUGAACAGCAGCGUGGGAAUUGCUGGACAAAAUUGGCACGUCUUCUAGGAUGUUUUUCUUUUAUGCCUAAAUGCAAAUAAGGCGGUCCCGAAUAUAUAAAUGUUAGUUGAAAACUAUCAAAAGAUCACAUUUCAUCAACUAUUAUUUGUACAUUUUUUCUAAAUGUUACCUUUAAAUUGUGUAAAAAUAAAAAAUACGUAAACUCGUAUAAACUAAAAGAAUCACGUAUUGCUUUUUUCAACCCAAAAAAGCCAUGUUUCCAUCGUCAUUUUCACAUUCUGUGUCCCAGUCAAUACCAAAUAUAACAUUUUGUAUUUAAAAAGAAUUUGGCUGAAUCUUCUCCAGAGUUCAACUCCGCUGUACCGCCUCACUUGUGUGCGUCUCCUCCCUCUCAAGACCACCGUCUCACUUCUGUUCAUCUUCCUCUCAAUACCAGAGUUUAAGUUCUGGAAUAGUGAAUACAGGUUAGUAUUUUUCGCACUGAGCUAUGCAAUUUAGUGAUUUUCGUAAAAAUACAUUCUUUGUGAGAGUAGUGUAGCAGAACGAACACAUUUCCGUGCUCCAAAUUGAUAGCCAUGAAUUCUCUUCUGGUUGGUUCAAACAAUUCUCACUAUGAAGUACAACUCUGCAAUGGUGUGUUUUGUCACUAUUAUUAAAAAAUAAGGUGUGGCAUAAAUUUAGGAUAGGUGUUUCGUAUAGGUUUCUCAAGUUGAGGAUUUGGAGCAAGUACGAUAAACACAGAAGGGAGGUUGAAGUAAUUUGUUUAUAAUUAAUAAAGAACUCCCUUGCAGAAGAAUGCUAUUGUAAAUUGAUUUUGUGUGCAUUUUGUACUUUUACAAUAAGGGAUAGCAAAUAGAGUUAUCAAGGCUACUAAUAAUCAAUGCAAAAGCCCAUGGUUUGGACUUGAGAAAAUGGACGUAGGUAGGUCAAAAUUUUAAAGUACAACACCAGGAAACAUAAAGGCAAAAUAGAGAUUGUACCAACCUUAUUAAUACCUAAGAGGAUGAAGAUCAAGAUGAAUAUGAGCUUCAUCUGAUGCUUGUGAUUUAAGCGUCAUUAAAAUAGCCUGCUGCGUGGCAUUCUUGACCCUGUGCUUCAACCCAUUAUUUUUCAUUUACUCCAAAUCUGACAUAGUUUACACAGAUCAUUAACAUUAAAAGAUUGAUAAUAUAUUAGAAACAUGAGUCUUGCAGCCAUUCUAAUUAGAUCAAAAAGAGGAACUAUUACAAAAUGUUCUGUAUGCCUUCAGUAGUAUCCCCUGAAACCACAGAUGGUCAGAUGUCAACAAUAGGAUUACACGCAUGAUAAACAUGCUUUUAUGUCAGCUAUCCUCUAAAACACCUCAAAUAGAAAAACAAAAUUACAAACUGAUUAUGUCUAACAUGGUACUAAUAUAGGCAUGAAUCAAGCACACUGCCCAGGCUGGGUAGAAUUCAAGGUUGAGUUUGCUAUGCAAAACAAUGGGCAAUUUAUAAGACAUGAGCUCAUCAUAAUUGCUAAUAUAGAUAACCACCCUAUACCAUUAUAGACUAAUAAUAGAUAAAUAUCCAUAUCUACAACUCUGGAAGUACAAUGUGAUGCACAUUAAUUCAGUCAACAACAAUGUGCCAAAAUAAGUAAUCUGCAAUGUUAUUGAAAGAAGCACAUACAUUCAGCAAAGCCAGCAUAACUCAAAUACAGUUUGAUGAUGUGAUUUUUCCAAAUCUGCUGAACCUUAAAAGAAAAAAAAAAGGCAAAUAGGCUCAACAGGUCCAGUUAACAUUAUUCAAGGUCAUACAGGAUAUAUAUUCUGUGUAAGCCACAGCAUAUUAGUAUUUAAUAUGUAGAUGCAUCUUAGUUUGUUGGGUAAAGAGGUUUCAAGAGAACUAAGGUGUGUAUGCUUUUAACAGACUUUUAACAAUAGUUUUAAACUUACAGGGUUGGUACAGAAUGCCAGAAUUUUCAAGAAGUUCAUGCCUGUACCACUUCAAUAAAAAUACUGUUAAGUAACUAAAACUCAAACGAAUCCUAAUAAAGAAACAAAUGCAUCCUGAUGCUUAACUCGAUUUUAUAUCAGUAUGAAAAUAAUUAUCAUAUAAAAAACAAAAAUAUACUUACAUAUAUAAGAAUAAAGUAAAAAGUAAAAAAUCUCACAUUUACUGCUAUAGGGAAACAACCAAAUCCAAUUAAAAUUUGGGACUCGUGAUGGCUGAAGAAAAAAAUAGGUGAAUUGUAAGGACCAACAUGUACACCUCUAACGUAGGUAUUUGAAAUCUCAUCAAGAUUCACCCUAGAGCAUUUAGAUUUCCCCUCCUCUGCAACAAGUCGAAAUGGACCUUGUCAUUGAAUUAAAAAAAAAGUCAUAAAAGGGUAUGAAGAACUUGAGAGAAAACAAAUCAAUAAAAAUAUUUAAAAUAUCAUUAUCAGAAAAUACAAAAAAGAGAAAGGUACCUAGAAAACAAUAAUAUAGAACUGAGAAAGAGAAGAAAAUAGAAUUUGUAUAAAGUGAAAAUGGUUUCUUGCAUUACCUGUUUGAAGUACAUAUUUUAGUUUUUAUACAGAAGUAAAGCCUUGCCGACCGCACUAUAGAUCUAGCUAAGGGGAAGUUAGCAUAACUGACUUCAGAAAGUUAGUUACAACAAAUGCUGACAAAUAACCUGCAAUACUAAGUGUUUACAACAGCUAGCUUAGCUAUUAUCACACCUAUAUAGUUAGUGUCAACAGAAUGAAUGGCAAAGAUAUGCAAUUAUACAUUUAUUUGUAACUGUUAUUCUCUUAAUUAGGAUAAUUAGCUGUAGUAAAUGUAUAUAUGAUAGUUUAGCUUAUUUAGUGGGCUGAAAAUCAGCUUGACAGAUUGUAAUUAUUUGUAUAUAUAUGAAAGUUCUCCAACAAGAGGAGACAUAAUUUUCUGGCUCAAUCUUCUCUAAAUCUAACAUAGUAUCAGUCUAGGUUACGAUCCCCAAACCUAGUUUGCGUUUUUUUUCAGUCUCGUUCUCGAUUCUUGAUUCUCGACUCCCGACUCUCGACUCUCGACUUUCGAACUCUCGAUUCUCGAUUCUUCUCGUCUUUGGUUUUCCUAGCUCUAUGGCUUCCGAAAAAUAUGAUGUCUUGUUUGUUCGCCUUAACGAAAAAAACUACUCAGCUUGGGCAUUCCAAUUCCAGAUUUUUGUCACCGGAAAAGAUUUGUGGGGUCAUGUUGAUGGCAACACUCUUGCUCCUGACAAAGACGAAGAUACGGUCACUCAUGCUCAAUGGGCAGUCAAAGAUGCUCAAGUCAUGGCCUAGAUCCUUGGUUCCGUGGAUUCGAACAUUGUCCUGCAUCUUCGCCCUUACAAGACUGCAAGCACAAUGUGGUCUUACCUGAAGAAAAUUUAUAGUCAAAAUAAUGCAGCUCGUCGAUUCCAGCUUGAGCACAACAUUGCUAAUUUGAAACAGGAUAGUCUCUCCAUAUCUGAUUUUUACUCUCAAUUCCUGAAUCUUUGGCUUGAAUACAUUGAUAUAGUUUAUGGAAAUUUUCCUUCCGAAGGUCUCAGUUCCGUACAAACAAUUCAUGAUAUUACUAUACGCGACCAAUUUCUUAUGAAAUUGCGAUCUGACUUUGAAGGUAUUUGAUCAAAUCUCAUCCAUAGAGAUCCUGUCCCAUCAUUGGAUGCAUGUCUCAAUGAGUUGUUACGUGAAGAACAACGUCUUCUUACACAGUCUAUCAUUGAAGAACAAAGAUUGUCUACUGUUCCAGUGGCGGUGGUGACGGUGACGGCGCGUGGGGGAGCGUGGGUGCUCCGAUCACCGCAAUCUUUGGACCACGGUGGUCGCCUGGCCGAGGCGAUUCAAAUGGAGUGGUUGACGGUCGAUUCUGGAACUCCAGCGACGACGCUGGUGACGGUGACGGUCGAUUCUGGAAUUCCGGUGACGGCGCUGGUGACGGUGACGGCGAUGGCGGCUACUGCGGUGGUUGCGACAAUGAUGAGUACCGGAGACCGUGGAAGAGGCUGGAGCAGAACCUAAGCUCUAGAUACCAUAUGAAAUAGUGAAAGAGAUGAGGGGAAAUCUCCCUUUUGUGUCUUUGCAUACACAUAGGGUAAUGUAUUUAUAAUAGGGUUAAAUAUGUUUUUCGUCCCCCAACUAUUGGCCGUUUUUGUGUUUAGUCCCUCUUUCAAACUAUAGUAUAAUUUAGUCCUUCAACUUUAGAAAACUAUGGUUUUAGUCUUUUUUACCAAAUUUUUUUAACUUUAUUUGAUGUUUCAAGCACGUUACAUUAUAGCAUUUGGAUUGUUUACACUGUUUGACACAUUUUUGCUUCAAUAUUAACUGAGAAACGCGUUUGAAACAGCAAAUAAAGUCAAAAAAAUUUGGUAAAAAGGACUAAAACCAGAGUUUUCUAAAGUUGAAGGACUAAAUUGUACUAUAGUUUGAAAGAGGGACUAAACACAAAAACGGCCAAUAGUUGGGGGACAAAAACCAUAUUUAACCCUUUAUAAUAAUACGAAUGUGGGCUAAACCCAAAUACAAAUGAAUAUGUAAAAAUAAAAUAAUAAGAAUAGGGACAAUGUUUCCUUAAUAAACAUAUACGGACUAUGUUUCCCUAAUUAACAUAAACAAAAUAUCUAACAAUUAUCAUCUAUUCCUAUUGCUUCUUCUUAUAAGCAGGCAAUGAAGAAUGAAUGUUGGCAAAAAGCUAUUGAAAGUGAACUUCUCGCCUUGGAAGAAAAUUAGACAUGGGAUAUAGUGCCAUGUCCUCCAUAUGUUAAACCUUUAGGCAGCAAGUUUGUGUUCUCUAUAAAGCUACGUUCGGAUGGCUCCAUAGACCGGUACAAGGCGCGACUUGUUGUGCUUGGAAAUAAGCAAGAGUAUGGCCUUGACUAUGAUGAGACUUUUGCUCCAGUUGCCAACAUGACCACUGUGCGCACUAUCCUUGCUCUUGCUGCAUAUAAAUCUUGGCUAUUACAUCAAAUGGAUGUCAAAAAUGCAUUCCUCCACGGUGACCUUAAGGAAGAAGUUUACAUCACACUUCCUGGUGGUAUGUCGACUCUUUUCCCGAAUACUGUUUGCAAAUUGAAACGCUCUUUAUAUGGAUUGAAGAACCCAAGAGUAUGGUUUGAAAAGUUUCGCUCCACUCUUCUUGGUUUUUCUUUUAAUCAAAGUCAGUAUGAUCCAUCACUCUUCCUUCAACGGACUCCUAAAGGUAUCGUCGUACUUCUUAUUUAUGUGGAUGAUAUUGUGGUCAUUGGUUCUGAUCAAGAUGUUAUUUCUAGAAUCAAACAAAUGCUGCAUUCAAAUUUUCACAUGAAAGAGUUAGGCCAUCUCAAUUAUUUCUUGGGUUUAGACGUGCAUUACCAUCCUGAAGGCAUUUUUGUAAAUCAGCAUAAAUAUAUUCAAGAUUUGGUCUAGCUAGCGGGACUCACCAAUGCUACCCCUGUUGACACUCCAAUGGAAGUUAAUGUUAAAUAUAGACGACAUGAAGGAGAGCUUCUUGACGAUCCCACUCAAUAUCGGAAACUAGUUGGUAGUCUCAUCUAUGUGACUAUCACUUGCCCUAAUAUUUCUUUUGUUGUUCACACUGUUAGUAAGUUCAUGCAAUCUCCAAGACACUUCCAUUUUUCAGCAGUGCAGGGUAUCAUUAAAUAUCUCCUUGGCACCUUAAGUCAUGGCUUAUUCUUUCCUGGUAAUUCAUCUCUUCAACUCCAAGCUUAUAGUGACGCUGAUUGGGCUGGUUGUCCAGAUACUAGGAGAUCAACUACUGGCUGGUGUAUGUUCCUAAGGAAUGCUCCUAUUUCAUGAAAAUGUAAGAAACCAGAUUUAGUCUCUAUGAAAUAGGAAGAAGAUUAGGAGAAAUCUCCCUUGUGUUGAAUAUACACAUAGGGUCCUUUAUUUAUAAUAGAAGAAAUAUGGGCUAAGCCCAAAAUACAAAUAAGAAAUAUAAACAAACUAAAUAAGAAAUAUAAACUAACUAACUAAAGAUAAGAGAUAAAUAUAAACUAAAUAUAAUAUUUCUAACACUCCUCCUUAAGCUGGAGCAUACAAAUUGUAUGGACAAAGCUUGGAAUAAAUAAACUCUUGAUGAUCUGUCUUCAAGAGUGUGUGGUAAACAGAUGCGCAAUCACAUGUCGACGAACAACUAACAGCACCAUGAAACUUCAAAUAGCACCAUGAAACUUCAAGUGGGAUGACUUUGACAAAGGAGAACAAUGACAAACUCCAGGGACUGGAUUGCCAUCAAGUAAGGAUGGGGCUUGCAUCAAAACUACAGGGAUUGCCAUCACUGACUAGUGGGGCCUGUAGUGGCUAAAAGCAACAAAACUACAGGGAAUGCCAUCACUGACUGAUGGGGCCUGUAGUGGCUAAAAGCGAUAAAACUGCAAGGACUGCCAUCAUUGACUAGUGGAGUCUGAAAGCCUAAAACCUGGUUCAUACUCCCCCUCACGAAGAACGGCAGAAAUGACGGCGCGCCGAUGAUAGACCGUGAAAGUGGAAGAUCAUAAUGAGCUCUUAUUCAUCAAAGCACCCAAAAACAAAUUUGACAGAUUUGACAAAGGGUUGGUGAAAUUGUUUCAACCCAUAAUUUUAGUGUUGAAAUUUCUUGGUGUUAACCACUAACUGUCCUUGAAGACCUUUAGCGGAAGCCGUAGAAGUAGGACUGGCAACAGAUUGUGACAACAGUGACUGAUUGUAGUGGCGGCACAAGCAGCGGAUGACAAGAAGGUCCAAUCGGUGCAGCACGAGAAAAGGGAAUUAGAACCCAUUCGUGGAGGCAUACACCAGAAUGCAGAUACGAGAGGAAGAUUUGGAUGGAGUGGUCGCUGGUCAAUUCUGGAACUCCGGCGGCGGCUCCGGCGACAACUCCGGCGACGGUGGCGGCAGUGGCCUUUCUUGGCUGCAGUAGAAUGACAUAGGUUGAAAGACUUUUAGUAGGGGCUGCCGGCAGCCAUGGCGCCCGACCGCCGGCAGACAGCGAAGACAACGGCUAAAGAAUCAGAGAACCUUGCUCUGAUACCAUAUGAAAUAGGAAGAAGAUUAGGAGAAAUCUCCCUUGUGUUGAAUAUACACAUAGGGUCCUUUAUUUAUAAUAGAAGAAAUAUGGGCUAAGCCCANUAUGAAAUAGGAAGAAGAUUAGGAGAAAUCUCCCUUGUGUUGAAUAUACACAUAGGGUCCUUUAUUUAUAAUAGAAGAAAUAUGGGCUAAGCCCAAAAUACAAAUAAGAAAUAUAAACAAACUAAAUAAGAAAUAUAAACUAACUAACUAAAGAUAAGAGAUAAAUAUAAACUAAAUAUAAUAUUUCUAACAGUCUCCAAGUCUUCCACUGAAGCAGAAUAUCGCGCAAUGUCUGUUGCUUGUUCUGAAAUAAUAUGGCUUCGUGGUCUUCUUACAGAGCUUGGAUUGUCUCAAGCACAACCCACUCCACUGCAUGCUGAUAACACCAGUGCCAUAUAGAUUGCCGCAAAUCUAGUUUACUUGGCCUUGUAAUAGUGAGAUAAAUCAGUCUUCCAACCAGCCUCUUAUACCUCUCUAGAUCGAAGAAUAAUUCACCUUCUUCCGUCCUUAAUUUCUGGUUUGGGUCCAUGGGACUGUCUAGUGGUCUACAAUCAAUCAUGUUAGUUUCUUGUAAUAUAUCAAGAGCAUACUUCCUUUGAGAGAUUACAAAUAAAGGUGUAAAUUCUUUGAUAUGGGAGAUUGUGAAGGAGAAACCAGGAAUAUGGGGAACAACAGACUUUGUCAAAAAUGGUUUUGUUGAUUUCAUCCAUACUACCAAAGAUACCACUGACUACCUAUGGCAUAACACAAGUAUAUUUGUGGUUGAAAAUGAAGAGUUCUUGUAAAAGGGAAGCAAACCAGUUCUUCUAAUUAAGUCUAUAGGUCAUGCUCUCCAUGCUUUUGUGAAUCAGGAAUAUCAAGUUGGCUUAGAGACAGCUAGACCCUUUUAUGACUUUGUGGGGGCAGGACUCACAAGUGUGAAGAUUAAGGGAUUGAACAAUGGGACGAUAGACUUGUCUUCAUAUGCUUGGACUUACAAGAUUAGAGUGCAAGGAGAACACCUAAAGCUAUACUAGGGAGAUGGGUUGAGUAAUGCCAACUGGAAAAUACUUAGUUGUUUUUGCUUCUUGCAGGUUGUAAUGCCAGACUUGAAUCAGUCUUUUGAAGAACACAAGCCAAUAGGCAGAGAAAACAUUUCUGAAUCCAAAGAGUUAGCUUAUAUACUACAAGAGAUUGAAACCAUGACUCUUGGUUGGAGCUUGAGCCAAGCGGAAUCGGUGGAGGGGGAGACAGAAGAGAGUAACUUAACUCCCAAUAAAGAGGGACCUGCAGAGGGGAGAGAGCUGCUGGAAGCAUUGAAAGACAUCAAAGAUCAUCUUCUCUGGGCUUAUAGUUUUGAAAAAGAGGUGACCAGAAUGUGGGAAGUUAAUAGAAUCAAAGAAGAAUAGAAGACAUUGGAGGAGGAUUUGCCACCACCUAGGCCUCCAGACUAGAAUUUGGAGGACACUAGCUCCCUGACUUCAACCUUGAGGACAAGGUUGAUUUUGAGGGGUGGAGUAAUGUUAGGAAUAAAAGAGAGUAAGUUAGACACGUGUAAGAAGAGUAGUAUGAUAAUUGUUAGUAGAGAGAGGGUAUUAAUAAUAACAGAAUAGGUGGAGAGAGGGGCAUAAGAUAUUUUGUCCCUUUUGGGUAGAGACUAGAUCAUCGUUCCAGUGGAGGAAGGGAGGCUUCCUUGAGGAAUACUCUUUUAUUAUUUCUGUUCAUCUAUACUUUACAGAAUAAUACAGUUAUUGUUAGAGAUAUUAUAUUUAGUUUAUAUUUAUCUCUUAUCUUUAGUUAGUUUGUUUAUAUUUCUUAUUUGUAUUUUGGGCUUAGCCCAUAUUUCUUCUAUUAUAAAUAAAGGACCCUAUGUGUAUAAUCAACACAAGGGAGAUUUCCCCUCAUCUCUUUCACUAUUUCAUAUGGUAUCAGAGCUUAGGUUCUCAUUUAGCCUCUUCCACGGUCGCAUCCUCCACAGCAGCCACCGCUCCCGCCACCGCCGCUGUCGCCGGAGUCUCGUCGGAGCCUUGCCGGAGUCUCGCUGGAGCCUCGUCGGAGCCUCGCCAGAGACUCGUCGGAGUUCCAGAAUUGAUCGGCGACCACUCCAUCUGAAUCGCCUCCUCGUCCUCUUUCUGGAUCUAUGGUCAUUGCGUCAAUCGGAGCAUGUUGAAUUUUUAGGGUUUCCCCUUCUCCAUGGCUUCUUCCUCGUCUACAACCACCUCUGCUAGUGCCUCAUCUUCUUCUCUUGGUGCCUCAUCAAUAUACACCAAUUAUGUGAAUGUACACUUGUCCAUUGACAAGUUAGAUGGCACGAAUUAUGCAACAUGGGCAUCCGACAUCAAACUUUGGUUGAAGAGUCAAGGGUAUGUAGAUCACCUUACUAAUAAUGUGACUAGUGCUACCAUAGAGGACACUUCCCGCUGGAUGAAAAUUGAUGCCUAGCUAUGCAUCGUCAUAAAGUCCACCAUUCACUCUUCUCUGAAACAAAUGUUUCGAUCAUAUGAAACAUGUUCAGAAGUAUGGGCACAAGCAAAGUUAUUGUACACAAAUGACACCCAGCGUCUUUAUGGUGUUUGUCAUGAUUUAUUCACUGUUAUUGGUCCGCGCAAUCCUAGUCCCAUGGCAGCAUAUUUAGGUAAAGUUCAUGCCCUCCUUCAUGAUUUUAAUGAGCUAUUACCUCCUGCUUCCACUACUGCUGAAGAACUGGAACAACGAUCAAAGUUCUUCAUGUUGUUGGUGUUAUACGGACUCUCUGAUGAUUCCUCCCAUGUCCGUUAUCAGAUUUUGGGUUCUCCAGUCAUACCCAACUUUACUUUUACUUGUUCUGCUCUUUUGUGUAUUCCGAGCAAAACAGUCAUUGAGACAUCUCCUCAUAGUGAUGAUUCCUCUGUUAUGGCUUCCUAACGUGAUGAUAAAAGUCGGUCUCGCAAGCCAGGUAAAGGACGACCAAAAUGUGACCAUUGUGGCAAGCCAGGCCACAGAAUUGAUAAAUGUUAUGCGCUUCAUGGACGUCCUCCUCGAUCUGUAGCAAUGGCUAAUUCUGAUCCACCUCCUUAGCCUGCAGACCAUCCUACUUCAUCAAAUAUUGUACAUAACCCUGUAGUCUUCAACGAAUUCUAAGAUGGUAUGAGGAUCGUCAGCAAUCUAGUUCCACUACAUCUGCAUCUGUUCCACGCACAGGUACACCUUUUGUUGGUCUGACACACUCCCUCGGAUCUUGGGUCCUUGACUCAGGCGCCACUGAUCAUAUAACUGGUAACAAGUCCUUAUUUUCUUCCUUGUCAUGUCCGGAUAAUUUACCCUCGGUAACAAUGGCUGAUGGGUCUAAAGUCUCAUCUCAUGGUAUUGGUACUGUUCAUAUUUUUCCGUCUAUAUCCAUUGAUCAUGUACUCUAUGUCCCUGGGUCUCCUUUCAAUUUAUUGUCUGUCAGUCGUCUAACUCAUUCCCUUAAUUGUGUUAUUUCAUUUACUAAAGAUUCUGUUUGUUUGCAGGACCGGAGUUCGAAACACAUGAUUGGCAAAGGAUGUGAGUCUCAUGGUCUAUAUCUUCUCCGCCCUUCUCCACAUGUUGGCGUCAUCAUGGAGUCACCAUCCCUUCUUCAUGCUCAGUUAGGUCAUCCCAGCCUUGCCAAACUACAGCAGCUUGUUCCGAGUUUGUCGAAGUUACUCAACUUGUCAUGUGAGUCUUGUCAGUUAGGAAAGCAUACUCGUAGUUCCUUUCCUCGUAGUGUUUCACAAUGAGCGUCGUCCCCUUUUUCAUUAGUUCAUUCUGAUAUUUGGGGACCUAGUCGUGUUAAGUCCACUUUAGGAUUUCAGUAUUUUGUUACUUUUAUUGAUGAUUACUCUAGAUGUACUUGGUUGUUUUUAAUGAAGAAUCGUUCUGAGUUGUUUUCUAUUUUCCAAUCAUUUUUUAAUGAAAUAAAAACAAAGUUUGGGGUUUCUAUUCGAACUUUACGCAGUGAUAAUGGUCGUGAAUACCUUUCUCAACAGUUUCAAUAUUUUAUGGCAUCUCAUGGCAUUCUUCACCAGACCUCUUGUGCUUAGACUCCUCAACAAAAUGGGGUGGCUGAGCGCAAGAAUAGACACCUCAUUGAAACAACUCGUACACUUCUAAUUCAUGGCCAACUACCCUCGCGUUUUUGGGGUGAUGCAGUUCUCACUGCAUGUUAUCUCAUUAACCGCAUGCCGUCUUCUGUCCUAGAUAACAAAAUCCCUCAUUCUUUCUUAUUUCCUCAAGACCCUUUACAUCCAUUACCUCUUAAAGUUUUCGGGUCUACAUGUUUUGUUUAUGAUUUUAGUCCUGGUCUUGAUAAGUUAUCUCCUAGAUCUCACAAAUGUGUCUUCUUAGGAUUUCCACNGUCACAAAAGGGCUAUAAGUGUUUUUCUCCUUCUCUCAAUCGUCAUUUUAUCUCUGCUGAUGUCACUUUUGAUGAAUCUUCGUUUUAUUUUUCACAACCAUCUUCUAGUUUUGUACCUUCACCUACCACUGUUGAUAUUCCUAUUGUCUGUGAUCCUUUAGACUCUCAUUCCACACAGGUUUAUAGUCGCCGCAAUCGUCUCCCUCAUGACUCACCUCCUGUGCCGCCUCCUGUGUCUCCUCCGGCUCCAGCAAAUGAGUCUGACCUGCCUAUUGCCCUCCGUAAAGGUAUACGCUCUACUCNUAACCCUUCCCCUCAUUAUACUGUUCUUAGUUACCACAGGUUAUCUCCAUCUUUUUACACAUGUCUCUCAUCCAUUUCUUCUGUGUCAAUUCCCAAGUCUGUGGGUGAUGCCUUACUUCAUCCUGGUUGGCGUCAAGCCAUGCUGGAUGAAUUAAGUGCUUUACAGAAAAGUGGAACUUGGGAGCUUGUCCAAUUACCAUCUGGAAAGUCUGUUGUUGGUUGCAGGUGGGUGUAUGCUAUCAAAGUUGGCCCUGAUGGUACAAUUGAUCGUUUGAAGGCUCGACUGGUUGCCAAAGGCUACACACAGAUUUUUGGUUUGGAUUAUGGUGAUACUUUUUCUCCAGUGGCGAAAAUGACUUCGGUUCGCCUAUUCAUUGCCAUGGCCGCCCUUCGACAAUGGCCUCUUUAUCAACUUGAUGUCAAAAAUGCUUUCCUUAAUGGUGAUUUGCAUGAAGAAAUUUAUAUGGAGCAACCGCCCGGCUUUGUUGCUCAGGGGGAGUCAUCUGGAUUGGUAUGUCGUCUUCGCAAAUCCCUAUAUGGCCUAAAACAGUCUCCUCGGGCCUGGUUUGGUAAAUUCAGUUGUGUUGUUCAACAAUUUGGUAUGACUCGCAGUGAAGCGGAUCAUUCAGUGUUCUAUCGCCACUCAAAUGCUGGAUGUAUCUACUUAAUAGUGUAUGUCGAUGAUAUUGUUCUCACAGGAAGCGACUACCUUGGCAUCUCUCAAAUGAAACAACACAUUUGUCACCAUUUUCAAACCAAAGAUCUUGGCCAACUUCGGUACUUUUUGGGUAUUGAAGUAGCACAAUCCAAUGAUGGUAUUGUCAUAUCUCAGAGGAAGUAUGCGUUAGACAUCUUGGAGGAAACAUGGUUAAUGAACUGUAAGUCUGUUGGGACACCUAUGGAUCCUAACAUCAAGCUCCUACCCAAUCAGGGGGAGCCUUUCUCAGAUCCUGAACGUUGCAGAAGAUUAGUUGGUAAAUUAAACUAUCAUACUGUUAGACGUCCUGACAUUUCCUUCGCAGUUAGUGUGGUGAGUCAAUUCCUUAACUCCCCAUGUGAAGACCAUUGGGAUGCAGUUGUUCGCAUACUGAAGUAUAUUAAAAGAUCACCUGAAAAAGGUUUGCUAUAUGGUCCUAACAACGAUACAAAAAUUGUUUGUUAUUCAGAUGCUGAUUGGGCUGGUUCCCCUUCUGAUAGGAGGUCUACUUCUGGAUAUUGUGUCUCAAUUGGUGGCAACCUGAUAUCUUGGAAAAGUAAGAAGCAAAGUGUUGUGGCUAGGUCCAGCGCAGAAGCAGAAUAUAGAGCUAUGGCAUCAGCUACUUGUGAGCUUGUAUGGCUUAAACAAUUACUUAGUGAAUUGAGCUAUGACACUUAUAUGUGAUAAUCAAGCUGCUCUUCAUAUUAGCGCUAACCCUGUCUUCCAUGAGAGAACCAAGCACAUUGAAGUUGAUUGCCAUUUUAUUAGAGAAAAAAAUCAUAUCUGGAGAUAUCAAGACUGAGUUCGUUAACUCAAGCAACCAGUUGGCAGACAUAUUCACUAAGUCCUUGCGAGGACCUAGAAUUGACUAUCUUUGUAACAAGCUUGGAACAUAUGAUUUCUAUGCUCCAGCUUGAGGGGGAGUGUUAGAUAUAUUAUAUUUAGUUUAUAUUUAUCUCUUAUCUUUAGUUAGUUUGUUUAUAUUUCUUAUUUGUAUUUUGGGCUUAGUCCAUAUUUCUUCUAUUAUAAAUAAAGGACCCUAUGUGUAUAUUCAACACAAGGGAGAUUUCCCCUCAUCUCUUUCACUAUUUCAUAGUUAUAUUCAUACCAUUGCUUUUUUUCUGAUGAGAGUGUGUGAGUGGAUUUCCAUCUGUUACGGUCCUUGAGUAAAGGAACCUAACCGUUUCAAGGGUGUGGAACGUAAACUCGUCUGAUUUUCUACAUGCUAGCCUACCUUGCUCACAGUCUUAUAUCUUUUGGUGUUGUUUUCUAUUCUCCCUAUUAUUUCAUUUGCAAUACAAGCAAUGUGUAGGUGCUGGAGUAAGGUUUCUUCCAAUUUUUGAACGGGCACGGUCACAAUCAUAUUCCCCUUAAUCUUCUUCAGCUUUUCAGACAACUAAGGCAAAAUUUAGCAAAACGAUGGGAGGUAUUUCAAAAUCGUUAUUGGUUUUUGAUGUUAUAUUUUUUCUCUGCUCUAUUUUCCUUUUCCUUGAUUUUCUUAUGCUUUUAGUGUUCGUAGGGACACAAACUGAGAGAGAAGAGAAGGUGUCUUUGGAGCUCAGCGAAGAAAUUCUUCAGAGUAUGGAAGUAGGAAUGGCCUUCAAAGACAAUGUGAGCAAUUCUACCAUUACGUUUUCUGUUCUUAUUUUAGAUUUGGGCAGUGUUUCUAAUGUUUUGGGAAUUGGCAACCUCAAAAUUUGUUUUUCAUUGUAUUCUUUUCCUUAAUUUUUGUGUGCAUAUGUUUUUCAGAAUGGUAGAAUUAGUUCCUUGGACUUUCACAGGACAUCCAGUUAUCUAGUAACUGCCAGUGAUGAUGAAUCCAUUCGACUGUAUGAGGUUACCAGUGGAACGUAAGCCCAUUUUAUCUGUUGCUCUAAUUAUAUAGAUAAUUGAAUGAAUGAUUAGAUACAAUCUUUUUAUCCUGAAGUUUAUUGACAUUGUUGCAUCCUCAUAUCGAUUUACAUCUCUAGUAUGAUUUAAGAAGAUUGCAUCAUUAUUUGAUUUGAUGUGACAAAUACUUUCAAUAGAUUGGGUUUAUUAACAUUUAUAAAUGACAGAUGUAAUUUGACAACUACAAAUUGUUCCAUCAUUUACAGCUAAAAAUUAACAUGUACUAUGUAGCAAAUUGAAUCAUGUUAUUUGAUUCUUUGAAAUUUCUCGCCUUCCUUCAGUUUUUGUAACAAAUCUACAUGUGUUCAUCAACAUAUUUGCCAUCAGUUGUUUGAAGAUAAUUAAUAGCAAAAAGUCUGGGGUUGACCUCGUUUGCUUCACAUCUCAUCCUACAACUGUCAUAUACUCUUCGAAAAAUGGUUGGGAUGGUGUGUCUCUUACCUAUUUUCAUCUUCAAUUAACUUGACAUCGGCAGUAAAUUUUGUAUACUCACUAUAAAUAUUUUCCAUCAAUCCAGAAUCUUUGCGGUAUUUCAAAGGUCACCAUGAUAGGUUUGGUAUCUGUCAUUUCGUAAUAUAUACAUUUAAAUCUCAUAUCAUAUGAUACAAUACACAUGUUAAUUCCAUUUGAUUGUUCUAAAUGAAUAUCAGCUUUUUGCAAGGGUUGUGUCACUAAGCUUGUGCUCUCGGAAGGACUGCUUUAUAUCUGGUUGUCUAGAUAGAACUGUUUUACUAUGGGAUCAAAGGGCUGAAAAGUGCCAGGUAGUGUCAUGUGCAUGCAGUUACUUGCUUAUUUUAUGUCCUUUUGUUUAUUAUACAUCAUAUAACUUUUAUAGGGGCUUCUUUCAUUAAAAGUAAAUAGGGACUGUUACAUGUAAAAGGAAGACCUGCUAUAUCAUAUGACGAUCAAGGACUUGUGUUUACAGUUGCCUUUGGAGGAUUUGUAAGAAUGUUUGAUGCUCGCAAGUAUGAAAAGGUUUGCAAAUUCAAAAUUAGAAUACAAAUAUGUAUAAAGCUUUGCUUUUGUUAUCUGUUAAUGGUGAGUUUCACCUGCUACAGGGUCCCUUUGAGAUAUUUUCCGUUGGGGGAGAUACUUCUGAUGCAAAUGUUGUGAAAUUUAGUAAUGAUGGGAGUCUCAUUCUUUUAACAACGGCGGAUGGGCAUAUUCACGUGCUUGACUCAUUUCGCAGACACUUGUUAGUAUCUUUCCUUGUUUCACUUAAUUUAUUGUGCUUUGAAUUGAAAGGUUGUGUUUGAUUUUUUCUCUCAUUACAUUUACAUAGUUAUCCACAUAUAAUGUCACGCCUGUCUCAUGCAACUCCACAUUAGAAGCUUCUUUCAGCCCCGAGGGAAUGUUUGUAAUAUUUGGUAAGCAUUUUCAGAUCAUUCCAAGAACGUGCGAUCAUUAUUCAUUUGGUAUACUUAUUAUUUCCACAUUUAAAUCUUUAUUACACUGUUUUUUCUUUUCCUGAAAUAGCGUUUUGGAAGAAAGAUUUGGAUUGAUUAUGAUUAUUUUAAAAUCCAUGCAUCAUGGUGCAGUUUUUCUGUCUUGUAUUUUCAAUUUUUUUCCUAUUUAUGUGAUCUUGUUGGUUGCUGCUUUCUACCUGUGCUGGUUUGUUAUGCUUAACUUGAUAUUUUACACUUCGAUUCUUUGACAGGUUCUGGGGAUGGAAGCAUCUAUGCGUGGAGUGUUCGAAGUGGCAAAGAAGUAUGAUAAGCUAUAUCCUUUCUUUGUCAUAACUAUUUUCUGUACAUAUUUUUGUUUGGGUAGUAAUUUAAUAACUAUUACUAUAGUUUUUCUCCUAUCAGGAUGUUAUGCUUCAACUUUACUAUCAAGUUAUUCCUGUUUCAUUUUUCAGAAUAUUCUACCAUUUGAUAUUGAAUACAAUAAUUUAUUUCCUAAUUGCAAACUAAUAAUAAUGGAGUGAGAGUAGUGUUGACAUGAAAUUAAGCAGAAGAAAAACCCAUAAUCUAUUAUAGCAACUUGUAAUAAUUUAAUUAUUACCUCUAAAUGACUAUGUUUGAGUGAGUAUAUUGUCAGAUAUAGUAUAUAGUAUAUAGAUUGCAGAAAAGAGUGCUAGAGAAUAUUGAAAUAUAGUUUCAAACUAGGCGAAUCUACUCCUACAUAUCAGAAUACAUAAAAAAGCAGUUUUUACAGGACUUUUUCUUUCUUUUUAUUUGACAUUAGAUCUCACUAGACAACUAAUCUCUUUUCAAUAACUAUCUCCUUUUUCCUUCAUUUGUGCCUACAGUAUACAUUGAGUCAUAACUUUUAAUGGGAUAGGAGCUGGUUAUAAUUGUUAAUAAUUCUUUAGUAUUUGUCCAUUUUUUUUUCUGAGUCUGUUUUAUUGUAUAGAAAUAACAGAAUACAAUAUUUUGAAGCCUGGCAAUUUGUGUGUGAAACUUGAACUUUUUAAUUAUGCAUAAAGCGAUUAUGCAAAAAAAGCUUCAAAAUUCUGCUUCGGGUAGCAUAGUAUUUUCCCUUUAUGAAUUUAAGUAUGAAUAGUACUUACCAUUCCAAUGUUAAUUCUUUUUGCCUUGUCUAGGUUGCAAGUUGGAGGAGUGCAACUUCUGAUACCGGACCUCCUGUAAUAAAGUGGGCUCCUGGAAGUCUAAUGUUUACUACUGGAUCAUCUGAGUUGUCAUUCUGGAUUCCAGAUUUGUCUAAGUUGGGAUCCUAUGUUGGAAGAAAGUAGACACAAUGCUUGGUAAAAUUAUUGUUUGCCCAUCAACCCACUGAAGGUAAUAUUUUUUACUACCACAGUGAAGUUUUUUCAUGGUUUGUAAAUAUUCUUCUCUGAAGAGCAAUCAGUAUUUCAAUGAUCCUUCUAAUCUGUACAUGUUAAAAUAUUUAAAUGAAUGUAAAUUCAAUGGUCUGUAAAUUUUCUUCUCUGAAGAGCAAUCAAUCAAACUUUUAACCUGUCUUAGGAAAAGCUGAUGGAGAAAAAAUUGUCCUUGUCAAUGGUUAAAUUCUGGUUUUGAUUCGGAUUUGAUGCUUACGAUCAUAAAUUUGACAUGCAUACUUGAGGUGGGGAAUCAACCACUGAAUUUUUUUCCUUGCUGAAUUGGGGAAGGAGUUCCCUGCUUGCCUUUAUUCCUUAUGGCUAUGAUACUUUUCCACUUUCAGAAAUAUUUUGACCAAUUUUUAUGGGGACUUCACCAAAAAAUUAGUUAUUGCAGAACUGUACUUCUGCUGGCAGCAAUCAGUAGAUGAGGGAUUGUUGUGUUUUGCAGAGAUGAGAGAAUAUAAGGGAUCUUCUUGGUCGUAGUUGUUACCUAAGAAAAACAUAAACUGCUUGGUAUAUAUCUGUAUGCAAUGGAAGUUAAUGGAGUGUCAUGCCAGUCUGUUAAACCAUUCCACUUGAUGACCCAGGUGAGAUUGUAGACAGAACUUAUGGCAUAGACGAAAAUCCCCUUUCCUAGGAGUUAUUAACCUAUACAAUAUUUUUAGGCCUGCCACGGCCAUCUCUCUACCCAAUGAACUGAAUAGUUUGGCUUGCGGGACAGCGAUUGUAUUGGUUCGAUUAGUUUUAACAUACACCAGAAAUCUUGUUAAAUGAAUUCUAUUUGAAUUAGCCCACCUGUUUACUCUAGUCCUCACCUCUGAGAGGAGAUUAUACUACAAAUCUCAAGAAUAAGAAAACUUAAUUUGGUUAUUUUUUGUCAGUACUCUCUUUUAUUUCAAGCAAUUAUUAGAUAUGACGUGUGAUUGACACGCCUUUAUACUUAUCUAAGGAUGUGUUUGGGUGCAAAAACAAAUGAAUUUUGAAAAGAUUAAAUUUAUUUCUAUUUUAUAUUUUUUACCACACUUUAAUUGAACUUUUUAAAAGUUUAGUUCUUCGUAUUAAUUCGUUAAAAUAGUUUUAUUUUCACUUGAAGUAAAAAAAAUUAUUUGAAUUUUUAUUUUAAAGAAUCAUUUUAUUGAAAUUUUAAAAAUAAGAUGUAUUUAUUGUGACAUCCCAAAUAUGUAUAGCAAACAUACAUGAUAUGGUAGUUCACAAUUAUAAUAUAGGAGAAUAGUUAAGAGUUAAACUUGCAAUUAAGUACAAUAUUAUAGUCAUCCCUUAAAUACCAGAAUUUAAAACUUUAAGAUAAAAUGUCUAAACCUUAAACUUAGACAUAAAGAGUAUUUUAAGAUACAUAGGUUCAAUAGAGAAAGGAAUUCUUAAGAAGACUAAGUUGCAACAUCAUCUCCAUCCUCCAGCAUUUGCUCCAAGGAAACCUCCUCAACAUCAUCUGCUCUCAUUCAAGUAGAUGAUCAUCACAAAGGAAAACAUAAACAGGCAACACGCAAACACAGAAACAAGGGUGAGUUAGGUAAACAAGCAAUAUACAUGCAUCACAAUUUAUGUCAUCAUGCUUAUUUACAUAUGAAAAGAAUAAUUAAAGCAUAUCAUUCAAACCAUGCAUCAACUACUCAACACGACUCAUCUAGAUUUUGUAUAACUGUCGAACUAUUGGUCGUCUGUGCACUUGCAUAGUUCAGCUAGCCCAUCCCCAACACUAUGCAAUGUAAGUCUCCUUAAUCUGUCUAUGUCUGAACUCUAAGACUAUAGACGAGGACCUCCCUCUACUCUCACCACUCACUGUUCUUCUCUAUUUGAGUAUGAACAAUGCUUUGAGUGUAGGGAUAGACAUACCAUUUCAAAGCUCCAUACAAUUAUAUAGAACAACCACAACACCUCUCCAAUCACUUCCAAUCAUCUCACCCUGAGAUGUCCAGUUCAUACUCAAUUUAAUAAUUUCAAUUUGCACUCAUACUAUUUCAAGUCACACAAUCCAAAUAUAUGAACUUACAUAUAACCUGACAAUCAAACAACAUCAAACAUCUCAAACAGCGCACCAGAGUGCAAGGCAAGACAACAAAAAUUUGCACAGCGCACCACCCUUGGCGUGCUGAGUGAAUUUUCCUGACGGGGAAGCCUUUCAGCUAAAAUUUGCAUAGUGCACAGGGUGCACUAUGCGACUCUGCAUAAUCUGCAGAAUGAAAUUCUGUAGAGUUUUGCAACCCAACACACCGAAACUCGUUCUAGACCUCUUUCCCAACUUCUAAUGAUCCUAGAUCAAAAUGUAAGCUUAAUUAAACUUUCCUAUAUGGUUCUAAACAUUUCUAACAUCAACCUUGAGUGAUCAAGCACAGGUUUCUACUCUAAAACCUCUAAUACCUCAACUUUUAUCCUCAAAUCUUAAACUACCACUUUGAACCUAUCUUUAACCAAUUUUAUGAUCUGAAUAAGUCAGAAUAGACUUACUAGCACUACCUUAACAGUCCAUUGACACCUUAGACCCCAAUUUCUCCAAAUCACCUCCUUGGUUCCUUAAAAAUAACCCAAAAAGUGCAUACUUAGCUUACCUUCCACUUGAUUCAUCAACCUAAGGACCCAAUUCCACUUCUACAAUUUUUAUUAUGUUUUAGACAAAUUUUAUGAUCCUAACAAGUCACAUUUGACUUGGCUAAGUUGUCCUAACACUCCAAAGUCCCUCUUAACUACACUAGCUCAAAAUCACUAUGUCAGUUCUUCUUGAAAUGAUCUGAAACAGUACCUAACGCUUGACCCUUUUUCCAAAUCAGAUUUAUAACAAAAAUCUCUCAACAACCACUUCCAACAUAACCCAUUACAAAAAUCAAUUAAUCUAGAAUAACUUACAAUCGCAACAUUACAGGUUCAUAAAUUAACACUCAAGCACAUGCACAUUUCAAAUACUGAAACCUAGACCAAGCAUAACAACAGAUUCAUUUCGAAAGUUAUCAUACCUUAACAUUAUACAACGAAUUUAAACAAAGAUAGAACUAGCUCCCCUUACCUUGAUUCCAAGCACAAAUUAGCUCAUCCAAAACGCUUCUACGGUGCCUCCACACAACUAGGACACAACAGGACCUAAAACCACCAAAUUGGUGAUGAAAACAACUCUUAGGGCUCAGAAAUUUGAAGAAAACAGAAAUGAGGUGAAACUACUUACCGGUCAAGAGUGCUUAGGUACCACCUAAACAGACAUGCACUGGGUCAAUGGGUUGGAAGCUAGAGAGAAGGCAGAGGAAGUAAGGGCUGAAGUUCUUAGAGAGAGAACCAUUCAUAAGAAAAUGACUCUAGCUUAAAAGAAGUCCAGCAGAAAUACUUGAAACAAUCUCUUCAUUUACAAAAAGGUCCCUCUCCUUAAACUUAAUGCAUUUUUUACUCCCUUUUUAUUAUUUAUGUAAAUAUAUAUAAUUAUAUACCAUCAGGUUCUUACAUUUAUGGAUGCAUACAUGUAUACUUUUUUUUAUAGAUGUAGAUGAUUUUAUUUUACAUCAAUAGGCAAUAAAUCAAGUUUUUAGAUUUAAAACUAAAAUUAAAUUUUUGUAACGUAGGAAACAAUUCUUUGGCACCAUCAUGCAUGAAGAAGAGCGUGCAUUGGUGUUAAACCACGACCAUUUAGAAGUUUUUUAAAAUUAUUUUGGUGUAAUUUCAUGAAAUUGCAGAAAUGGUACAAGGUUUAAAAGUUGUGUUGACUUAAUAUAUUUUCAAAAUAAGUUAUAAUGUUAAAACGAUUUUAUCGUACAUUAGUUGAAGUCAAUGACGAUUUAUGUAAAAAAAUCAAAAUUAUUAUAGUUUAAGAUGACUUUGAUUAAGUUUAAUCAUAUUUUUCAAUCAUAAAUUGUGGUUGUGUCAGUAAUGAAAUACGAAAAUGACAUGUUAACAUCGUUUCUUUGACACGGUUUUUACAACGCCACAUGGCGUCUGUGCAUUGCCCAGUUUUUUAAUGAAAUGAAAUUGGUUUUCUGAGGUAAGUGAGGGGCAUAAUGGGAAAGGCAAUAAAAUGAAUUUUCGAUUUGGCGCCCUGUUUCCUCGUUUCCUUUUCACAAUUUCAGAUUUUCUUCACGGUUUCUCACUCUUUCUCUCUCGUUGCACUGGUUCUCUGUUCAUCACUCUCAUGCUCUCGUUCUCUCAUCAUCUCGUUCUCAGUUCUUAGGCGUUCUCGGUGGCUUGGGUAUUGUCUAUGUGUUGGGCAUCCUUCGUGUGCAUUGUUGAAGCUCGCCCUCUACCAUUUCUGUUUUUAUCGUUGUUGGUGUGUUCUUUUAUUUGGGGUAAGUGCAACUCGAAACUUACUCUAACCUCAUAUCCAAUAGAGUGGUUUAUUUCUUUAGUGAAACCUAACUAUUUUUGUGGACAUUGUUAUCACUGCAGGUCCAAUGACAUCAAGAAAACCAAGUGUAAGAUGAAAUUUUUAAUGUUUUAUUGUUAUGGAUGAUGUAUAAGGUGUGACUGUUAGUAUUUAUUGUAUGUUAUGUUAUUGUUUUGUAGUGGCGACUUCGUAUAUCCAUGGAUUCGGCCAACAUUCUUGAAAUGAAUACCAAACUACGAGAACCUCAUAUACAACAUAUUAAUAUGACCCCUUUUAAGUGGUGCUUGAACAUUUUAAACCCUAUUGAAGUGAAUAUACAAUUAUUGAGGUUGAUGGUAAAAUGGUGGGCGUGGAAUGAUGUUGUUGUUUAUAAUUAAAGUAAAUAGCUAAAGUUCAAAUGAUGGUGUUGUUUAUAACUAAAGUAAAUAACAUUUUCUUUCAGGAAGACUUGCGUGAAAUUAGAAUGAACUAUGUAAAGGAGUAGAUCAUGGAUAACGAGAACAUUGCAAGAAUGGAAGCGCUACAUGAAUAUGGGUUUUAGCAGGAUUGUUAAGAUUUGUUAGAUGUUAAUAUGUGAUGGAAGCUCCCUUGCAAUUCAAUCAAGAACAGCCUCCAAGUCCAGAGAUGGCAGCAGAAUGAAGGAACAUAGUGAAGCACGGAAGGUGUUUGAUGAAGGUUUCAAUGAAGGUGUGUGGAAAAAGCAAUGAAUAUCAAGUUCCGAAAGCCUUCCACUAGGGAAGGAAGCUAGAGGAGAGGGUGCAAAAUAGGCACAUCUGUUUGAACUUUGAAGAAUGACUCUGGAGAAAUCUCAACAGCAUUUCAUUAGUUUCAAAGUUGAAGUUUUACAAAGAGAAGAGUCCUCCUUUUAUAGAUGAAGGAGUGACUCAAAAACGUGCUAAGCAACCUACUCUAAGUGUAAAAGAAGCUUGUUGAGGAAGCUAUGUAGUUGGAGAGACUUGGGAUGCAAGGUACAACAUGCCAGGUCAGCAAUCCAAGUGAAGAAGAAGACUCUGUAGUGUCUAACACUGGGGCGCCAUCUGGUGCUGGGGCGCCUUGGAGAGGGGCGCUAGGGCGCCAUCUGGCUUCCUUUUGUGAUUCCUUGGUUAUCCUUCUUGACAGCCUUCCUUAGAUGUAUGUACAUGGUCUCUCCUCUUUAUUAAGAACCUACAAAACAAAGUAAAGAUUAUUUAGCAAAGAGAAAAAUGCUAAGACUUUAGAAAGAAAAGAUUAAGUUUGUAUUCAACUUCCCUUUCAUAGUCUUAGUGUGGUUGAUGCUUCUUUGGAUGGGAAGUCCCUUUUGGGGUUGCCAUCACUCCCUCUCUCUUUAAAAACGAUUUGUCCUCAAAUCAGGAAGAAAGAAGAAGCACAACUUUGGUGUUUAUUUUCCUCUUGGGUCAAAGAUAUAUCUACAAAAGAUAGCAAAAAUGAGUGUGAGGAAUAAGAGAUAUGCAAAGAGAAAAAUAUGAAAUGAAGGCCUUGUGACAAAAAAUUUAUUAGAAGAAAUCAUAGCCUUUUUGUUUUCACUCUGUUUGGAACAUUCCCCAUGAUGAAAUGGAGAAUUAAAGUGAUGUUUUGGAGAAGGAUAGUCAAGGUAUUUACCUGCUAGGGAAGGAGUUAACAUCAUGCAUACCUUUGACUCCUUUUUCUUUGCUUGAGAAGGUUGCUUGUCCAACCUAUUUUCUUUUUGUCUUUCUUUUUCAAUUUUUUCUUUGAGUUUUAUCUUAUCCUCUUUAACUUGUUCAGGUGUAAGAGGAAUCAAUGUGAUUUUAUUUCCUUUAUGGAGGAAAGCUAUUUUGUUGGUAUAGCCAUCAUGAGUGGAACUAUGAUCAUAUUGCCAUGGUCUACCAAGUAAUACAUGCCCAGCAUCCAUUGGAACAACAUCACAUAAAACAUUUUCUUCAUAUUUGCCAAUGGAUAUUGGUAUGGUUACUUGUGUGUUCACUACUAUUUCUUCAUCCUCUGUUAUCCACUGAAGGUUAUAAGGCUUUGGAUGAGGAAUAGUAGGUAAGGCUAAUUUGUUCACCACUCUAGAACUACAACAAUUGCUAGAAGAACCACUAUCCACAAUUAAUGAACAAGUGUUUUAAAAAAUUUUGCAUCUUGUGCGGAAUAGGUUCUCCCUUUGAGAUUGUUCUAGCUCUUUGGUUUGACUUCCAAGAAGUCUUCUAACCAACAAUAACUAUCCUUCACAAGGUAAGACUUCUUCCUCAGAUAUGGAAGUAUCUGAAUCACUAGAAGAAUCUUCAUUUUCACUUUGGUGGUCCAAGAGAUAAGUAGACCUUUUGUGAGGACACUCAAAAGAAUAAUGACCUCUCUCUCCACACUUAAAACAUCUAGCCUCUCUACCCCUUGGUUCUUUUGAAGACUCUUUGUGAGGGGUAUUUCCUUCUCGCUCUCUCUCUUUUUCUUUACCUCUCACUUUCUCCUUUUCUUUUUGUUUUUCUUUGUCUUGAAGUUUUUCAUUCCUCACUGGACUACCUUCCCUCUUAUGAUCUUUCCUAUACUCGGAGGUGGUAGGGUAAGUCCUUUUUGUGGAAGCUUUUCUUCUAAGCUGCUCUUCCACUCUCACACAUAGCUGGACAAAGUCAUUUAGAUCUAGGUAAGGUAAGAGUUCUACCUUAUCUCUAAUCUCAUAGUUUAAUCCAUUCUGAAAUCUAGCUAUGGUGAAUCUCUCUUCCUCUUUGAUCCCCGCUCUCAACAUGAGUAACUCUAAUUUUUGUCUGUAUUCCUCAACACUCAUGUUUCUUUGUUGAAGUCGAUGAAGCUUAUCCAUGUCUUCUCUUGCAUAGUAGGCUGGGACAUGUCGCCUGUGUAAGGCUGCUUUCAGCUCAUUCUAAUAUUGGAUUGUGUAGUCGCCAUGCAUCUUUUGGUGUCUCAUGAUGGAUGUCCACCAAUAAAGGGCUGCACCUUGAAAGGUUAAGGUGGCUAAGGUCACUCUCCUCCUAUCAUCUAUGUUGUAGCAUUCAAAAAUUUGUUCAACCUUCAUCUCCCACUCAAAGUAUUCUUCAACAUUAUCUCUACCAUAGAAAGGAGGAAGGUCAAGCUUAGGUUCUACAUGAUGUUCUCUAUGGUUGUGAUGACGCCUAGGAGGGCGUUGAUAGUGAUCAUAAGGUUGGUAGGUAUGGUGAUCACUAUGGUGGGAAUGAUCAUCUUGAUCAUGAUUUUUCCUAUGAGAGUGAGCUCCUUGGGUGUGCCCGCUUUGAUUGAGAGUAAGAGUGGUGACCAUUUGCCUUGGCUCAUUCAACUCAGUCUUGGUUUUAUUGAUCUUGAGUGACAUUACCUUGAACACUAGAGUGACUCAUGCUUGUGAAGUAGAGAAAUUGUUUUCACAAAGAGGUGUUGUUUGGACACCCCAAGAGGGAGGAAAAUGAUCCAUGUGUGUGAGUCCAUUAAGUUGGAUGAAGUCCACAGAGUUUGCAGGACAUGAAUUGAGGGCUUGCACUCAACAUCAAACCUUCCUUGCGUACCAAAAGAUGUACAACUACACUUAGAACACCUCAAAACCAUUAAAUGACACCAAAACAGAUCCACCUCUGCUCUAAAUUCAGGAAUUAAUACCAUGGUCCGUUGUGAACAAAAUAAGGGCUCCUUAUGUUGAACUUUGUGUCCAAAUCACUAAGCCAGCUCGCGUAAUCGUUUACCAGUCUGUGGUAAACGAUUGCCACAAUUUUUUCUGCAUAACUUCUUCCUGGACAUGAUUUGGGGCCUUGCACUCAACAUUAUACCUCCCUUGCCUACCCAAACAUGAACAACCACACGUAGAACACCUCCAAAGCACUAAAUGACACAAACAACUCUACCUCUAGUCUAAAUUGAAAAAUUAAUACCAUGGUCCGCUAUGAACAAAAUAAGGGCUCCCUCUGUUGAACUUUUUUUCCAAAUCACUAAACCAGCUCGCGUAAUCGUUUACCAAUCUGUGGUAAACGAUUACCACAACUUUUCUGCUGCAUAACUUUUUUCCUGGUCUUGGACUAAGUUUUUUUGUUCAAAAUACACAAUCUUUGUAUGUAAAACAAUCCUUGUUUCCUUCAUCCUUUAAUACAAAAUUUCAAUGCAAACUUUAUUCAUUAACAAUUCAAAAAAAAUUAGAUUUCCCAUUUACAAUAUCAAAUGCAAUUCACUUAGUAAGUAAUAAUAUCAUAAUGAAGGCAAAUUGCAUUUUUAUCACAUUGAACAUAAUAAAAACCAAAUUACAAAACAUAUGUUCAUGUAAAAAUAUCUCCAUAUUACAACCUCUUAAGAAAGCUAAACAAAACAUAUGUUCAUGUCCCAAAUUUACAUUCUCCCUUUAAAUUAAUCUCUUUCCCAUCUAAACUCAACCCCAAAGCUAAACAAAAUUCUUUCUCAUUCAUGGGCAUAACUUUCUCUCAAAUUAAGAAACCACUUCUUGAAUCCACCCAUUUAAACACCAACUCACUCAAGAUUUUCCUACCUACUUUAACAUUAUCAGCCAAAUCUAAAAACCACUGAAAAGGAGUGCCCGCAAUCAUUGACCGAUGCUCCUUUCUCAAACGUUUGUUCAAACUACAUAUGUAUUUUGUUGAAACUGAGUGACGAACCGUCAACUGCAUAGUAAAUCCAAAAACCAAAAAUUAAAAGCCCUAAAUCAAAAACACACACAAAACCCACACUCAAAAUACGAAACGCUAAACACCAAAACUCAUCAAAGAUGAACGCGCUUACCCUGCUCGAAGAACUCUCCAUUUCGCAAAACGAAGACACGAAGAACAAAACGAUGCAAUCACAGUGACACCCACAGGUAACGAGAAGGACAAACCACACUCUAAUGGCGAAAACGAAGGCAAGAGCGAUAUCGGAAGGCCGAAAGCGAACCCAACAAUGGUAUCGGAAUGGAGAAAUUCGAAAAUUUGAUGAAACAGGGAAGAAAGAGAAUGUUAAAUUCAGAUCAAAACAGGAAAGGGCAAAGUUGGAAUCCAAAAAUUUAAAUCUCUGCCUCAUUAUUGAUGUCACAUUUUUUAAUAUUUUUUUUAAAAAGGACCAAUCUGAUGCUGACACGUGGCGUUGUUAAAAGAGUGUUAAAAUAGGAAUGUCAAAAUAUCAGGAUCCAAUGAAAUAAAUUAAAAUUGUAUAACGAUGUGAUGAUUUUAAUUUUAUUUUAUUUUAUUAUAGAAUUAAAAUUGUUACAUCAUGAUACAUAUUUACUUUUUUUUUUGUUGUAUAUUUUCCUAUUUCAUUGAAGUCUAUGUUUUUUCAAAAAAAAAAAAACUCAAAAUGAUUUUUUUGUUAAAUUAAUGUUAAUGUUGUUUGAAAGUGUUAAGUAUCAAAAUUUUGGAUUAUGUCAAAAUCUAAGUUGGUCAUUUCUUAAAAAUUUAAACCAUUUUAUGUACGAUAAGUCAAUUUUAAAAGAGUUCUAAAAUAAAAAAUUAUUUGAAUUUUGACACAUGACAUUCUAAAUAAUAUUAAUUUCAAUUUAACAUAAAAAAUCAUAUGAAGUUUUUUCUACAAAAAUAAGAAUUCAAAUGAAUAAAAAAUUAAUGUAAUAAUAAAAAAUUUAAAUAUAAAAAUCAAAUUAUUAAUUAAGUUCAAAUAAUAAGGGAGAAAGCUUGGAUUUCAACCAAGGUAAGGGUAGUUGACUUUGUUUUGUUUUGAUGAGAUUCUUAUGCUUAAAUGAUUGAUUUAAAGUGAAUUUGUGAUGAUUGGAUUUAUUGGGUUUGAGAAUUAAAGAUGCUGAAAAUAUGAUUCUUAGUUGCAUAAAUUAUUUUGGAUGUUCUAAUGUGAAUUUCCGUAGUUGAAGUUAGAAUUUUAUUCAUUUAAAGGAUGAAAUUGAAUGGUCAAAGUUGGUCCAAUGUAGUCAACUCAGGGCUCCUAUCCAAUUUUGAAAAGAAAUAUAUAGAUAAAGUGCAAUUAGAGGAAAAUUCUGGACUUUUGUGCAAUGUCGAAUAAAAUAAAAAGGGUUGAAAUGUAAUUUUGGACAAAUUUAAAUCUUCUAGAUAUUUUAAAAGAUAUUUUGGAGAAAAUAUAUCUUAAGAUAUUUUAUUUGAUAUUGUUAAAUAAUUACCUUAUUUAACUAUAUCAAUAAAUAUCAAAAGAUAAUAUUUGCCAAAACUUUUUGAAUUUAGAAAAGAUCUUAUCAAAUAUUCUCAAAAACGGAUUAAAUUUGUUGAAUAUUUGAAAGAUAUUACAUGUUAAAAAUAUUAUAGCUUAGUUUAUCACAUCAAGAGGAGGGUGAAUUGGUGAAACACAAAAUCAGAGUCUUUUUAAAAUCCUUUUAGCAAAGUUGAUGCCUUUGAAAAGUUUCUUGAAUUGCAAAGAAAAAAAAUUUGAAGUGCUUUAGAAUAAAAUUAACUAAGCACAUAAUAAAGUCGACUUGAAUGUAAAAGUGUAGGAUAAGAAAAAUCAAACACUAAUUUUUAAUAAUUAAUUAACAUCCUUCACACAUUACCCAUUAACCUUUACUAGGGUUUAAAAUAUAAACAAAGUGAACUUGGCCAAAAACGACACAAAGUAUUACCAUUAAUGAUAACGGUCUAAAAACCAUUAUUUUUACACUUAAAUUUGAUAUCAAAACACAUGCUUUAUGGCUUAGAAUGAGCUUAGAAUCAAGCAAAACAUUUAGUUUAGUCAAAAGAGUGUCAAAAGUUGUUUUUAGAGAUAUUAUGCUUGUUUUUGCAUUGUUUUGUAGGAUUUGAUGAAAUUUGAGGAUGGAAGUGAAGAAGGGAGGACUUAGGCUCAAGAAAAGAGGAGAAAAGGAAGAAAAGAAGAGUCAAGUUCACUGCUCAACGCCAAUUCCAGCGCUGAGCGCCAACUUCGAGGCUGAAGUCACUAUUUCUGGCUUGAGCGGCGACAUUGAGUGUCCUGCGACUUGGAGGUCCACCGCUGAGCGACAGAAUUGAGCGUCGAGUGGUCUAUGAUUAUAAGACCCACCGCUAAGCGGCCAAAUUGUGCACUGAGUGCCUAAAUGAUGGGCUUGGGCUUAAAUUCUAUUACUUUUAUGCAUUAUAAAUAGCCCCAGUGCGACCUUCAGAGUAAUCUUUUGGCAAGCAGAGACCUCCAAAGAACUUCUACACUCCUUGGAGACAGUUUCUUGGAUGCUUAGGCUCCCAUUUAUCAAAUCUAGGGUUUACUCUUUCAUUCUUUCCAUUAAUUCCAUCUAGUUUCACCAUCCUUAUGGUGAACUAAACCCUUUGUUGUUGGGAAACAAUGUAAUGCUUUUGAAACUCUCUUAUAUUGAAAUUCUUAUUUUAUUCAUAUGCUUGUAUUAUCAAUUGUUGGGUUUCUUAUCUAAGAUUAAUGCUCAUAUCGUUUAACUCAUUCGUUGUGAAGAUAUUUGAUUUUGUCGAUACGGAGACGUACGGGGUAGUCUCGAACUGCUAGGAAUUCCCUUGAUUAAGAAAUACUGCCUAGAGAUAGGAGUAGGACGGUCAAUUAUUUUUGCUUCUGUAAUUCAAUGCAUUGCUAAUUACUUAGGGAGACUAGAGAUAGUAAACUAGUAAUUAGUGAUAGGCUUUUUUCGCCAAGAGAUCGGGUUUAGAGUAGACUAGAAAAAUUGCAUGGCAAUUGAUAAUAAAGCGAAUUUAAUAAGAAAAUUUGAUAUAAGAAUGUGGAUAAGGAUGAAGUUGUAGACCCCAACAACCCCAUUCAUUCAUAUCUUUUACUUGCCAAUUGAUUCAACUUGCAUUUGCAUAUUUACUUUCGUUUUGCAUACAACUACAAAAUUAUUUCUUUUUGAAGUCUUAUGCAAUCAAUAUACAUGAAAGAUAAGGCCUAAGAGUCCUUUGGGAGAACGAUACUCGGUCUUACCGUUUAUAUUACUUGAUAUCGAUCUGGUACACUUGCUAGGGGCUUAACAAGCUUUUGGCGUCGUUGCUGGGGACUCAUGGUUUAACUUUUCAAGUAAUGUAAAUUGUUUAAAUUUGACUUUUUUGUAUAUAUUUUGUUUUAGUUUUAUCUUUUAUAAAAAAAAAGUGCUUCUAGGUUUUUGUCUCUUAUGUAUUGAUAAUGGUUGAGAAACAAUUUUUUUCAUACUUCAUUUGAGACCAAAUUACACCCUUUAAGGCUUAGAAUGAGCUUAGAAUCAAGCAACACACAUAAAUUGAGUAAGUUGAGAGUCAAAAGCUAUUUAUAGCAAUAUUAUGGUUGUUUUGCUUUGUUUUGCAACAUUUUUUAUGAAAGUGAAGAAUGGGGUUGAAGAUGAAGGUCUUAGACUCAAGAAAAAGGAAGAAACAUGAAGAAAAGAAGAGUUUAGGAACCGCCCAACGCCAAAUUCCAACGCUGGGCGGCUAAAUGCAAGGAGAAGCCACUGUCUGGCAAACGUCGAGCGACAUAAGUGUGACGUCGGGCGGUUGUCUGCUGGGCUUGGGCCUGAUUUCUAUGACGCUCCUCAGCUAUAAAUAGCCUUGUUGCGAUUUCAGAUGCAUUCUUUUGACAGAAGAGGGCGGCCAGACCUAAUUUUCACUCCUUGGAGAAGAUCUCUUUGAUGCUUAGGCUCCUUUUUAUCUAAUAUAGGAUUUGCUUUUCCAUUCUUCCAUCAUUUUUCAUCUAGUUUCACCAUAACAAUGGUGAACUAAACCCUUUUGUUGUUGGGGAACAAUGUAAUCUUUUGAAACUCUCUUUCAUUGAAACUCUUAUUUAUUUAUAUGCUUGUCGUAUGCUUUGAUUAUCAAUUGUUGGGUUUCUCAUCUGCGCUUAAUGUUUUUAUCGUUUAACUCAUUCGAUAAUUGUUGUUUGUCUUUAUUGAUACGGGAACGUACAGUACUGUCAUGAACUGGGGGAAAUUCCUUGAUUAAGCAAUACCACCUAGGGAUAGCGGGGUAGGACGAUCAAUUGUUUUGCUUCCGUUUAUAAUGCAUUAUUAAUUACUAGGGGAGGCUAGGGAUAGCAAGCCAGUAAUUAGUAAUAGGCUCUUUUUGCCAAGGGAUCAGGUUAAUGGUAGACUAAGAAACUUUGCAUGAGAAUUAGAUAACAAAGCGAAUUAAAUAAGAGGAGUAAAUAAGAGAGAGUGGAUAAGAUGAAAUUGUAAACCCCAACAACUUCAUUCAUCCAUAGCCUUUUUCUCGUCAACUGAAUCAAUUGCAUUUGCAUGUUUACUUUUUGUUUUUGCAUCCAAACCAAUUAAUUUCUCUUUAUAAGUCUUACGAUUUCAAUUUGCACAAACGAUAAGGCUUCCGAGUUCUUUGGGAAGAACGAUAUUGGGUUUACCAAUUAUAUUACUCGAUACGAUCUGGUACACUUGCCAGAGUGUUAACAUGUAUGCAGGAAGCCAUUCACACUAAAAGUAAGAAAAACCAACAACCUUUUCUUGAAGGACUGACAGAUAGGAGGGGAAGGAGAGUCAGACGUCCAUCUAGAGAAUUGUUCCCUUUUCCUGAGAGAUUGUUACAACCUUCACCGGAGGUAUCUAUGCAAAGAACUGAAGAGAUUGCAGAUGAAGCUCCUCCCAGACGCACACUUGCUGAUGCAUCAAAUGUUGUGGGCCCAUUUCACUUUAAUAGUAUAGCCAUGCCAAGGGACAACACAACCAAUAUGGUGAUGAACCUUGCGUUAAUUCAUCUGGUACAAAGCAACCAAUUUCAUGGGUUGUUGAAUGAGAAUCCUUAUGAUCAUUUGACAACAUUCAGUGAAAUUUGCAACACUGUAAAGAUGAUUGGAGUAUCUGAUGAUCGGGUAAAACUUAGCUUGUUUCCUUUUUCACUGGGUGGCAAUGCUAAGUCAUGGUUAAACUCCUUUUCCAGAAGGAAGUUUCACUACGUGGGAGACUGUGGCAUCCAAAUUUGUGAGCAAAUAUUUUCCACAGUCAAAAGUCACCCAAGGAAGGUUGGAGAUUUCUUCGUUUAAACAGGGUAUGGAGGAAACUCUUGGACAAACAUGGGAUAGGUUUAAAGGCCUAUUGAGGAAGACGCCUGUUCAUGGAUUUGACAAGACAACUCUGGUUCUUGCGUACCUUGGAGGCCUAAAUACACAGUCAAAGAUUAUGCUAGACGCUUUAGCUGGAGGCGACAUAAAGAGAAAGACUAAAGAUGAGGCCUAUGACCUGAUUAAGAGUAUGACUACGAAUGAACAGGAAACCCAUAGUGAAAGGGGUGCAAUAGUGCAAAAGAAGGGAUUUCUACAUCUUCCUGCUGAUGAUGCUAUGUUAGCUCAUAAUCACCUUCUUGCUCAGAAAUUGGAUAAUUUGACGAAGAUUCUGUCUCAACUUCCAAAGGAGAUUAAGAAUGUCUCCCAAGCUCAACAACUUUGUGACUUUUGUGGUGGUGACCAUAUUAAUGGUCAAUGCGCUAUGCCGGAAGAGAUGCAAUAGGAGGCUAACUAUAUGGGGAAUCAGUUCCAAUAUAGGCAGGGAAAUUUCAAUCAAGGCAACUCUAGCCAAGGUUGGAAAAACCAUCCUAGUAUUGGGCAAAAUCAAAAUAGCCCAUCUGGACAAGUAGGAGGUUUUCUUAACAACAGACCGCAACAACAAUCACCCUUGUGGCAGCAGGUGAGCAGUUUAACAGAGAGUGUCAGAGACCUUAAUGACAGAUUUGAUAAAUUUAUGAAGGUUUAUGACUCUCACUAUGCGAGUAACCAGGCCAAUUUCAGAACUUUGGAGAUGCAGAUUGGGCAACUGUCAAAGAGGGUGGAAACCAUAGAGAAAAAACAAUUUAGGGCUAAUACUGAUGUUAACCCUAAAGAGGAAUGCAAAGUUGUUGUAACUAGAAGCAAAAGGAGAGCAGAAGAGGAAGUUUUUGGAAAUUGAGAGUAGUGAGGAGGAGGAAGAAGAAAAAGAGAUUAUUGAGCUGGAAAGUAGUGAGGGAGAAGAAGAGGAAAAGAGAAAAGAUGGUCACAAUGGAAAAUUUAGAGAAAUUUUUAAUCAAGUGACUGUUGUACCUUCAGUACUUCAACAAAUUCCUAUUUACUCCAAGAGAAUAAAGUAUUAUCUUGGAGAGGUGAUAGAUCUUGAUGAAGAAGAAUAGGAAGUUUGUAUCCGACCUAAAAAGAGGAAGCAUCCGCAAAAAUUGAAGGAACCAGGGAGUUUGACUCUUCCAUGUGUUGGUAAUGAUGUGGAUACAGGAAGAGCUAUGAUAGAUUCUGGAUCUAGUAUUAAUAUAAUGCCUCUGUGUUAUUUGAAGAAAAUUGGAGGGCUAGUAUUAAAACCAUGUAAUCUUUCUGUGAUGGUAGCGGAUGGUUCUACUAAGAAGCUACCUAGUAUGGUAGAGGAUGUGAUUGUUCGUGUUGAGCAGUUGGAGUUCUUGGUUAACUUUAUAGUCAUGGAUAUGGAGACGGAUGAAAGGAUUCGAUUGAUUCUGGGAAGACCUUUCAUGAGAACUUCUAAAAUGGUUAUUAGUAUCUAUGACAGGAGGAUCAUGUUAAGGGAUCAAAAACAUGUGUUAAUGUAUAAUGGCUCUAAAUAGAAUAACACGAGAGUAAAGAAGAGAGCCAGAUACAGAAAGUUGAGAAGAGAAGCUGCAGUUGGAGAAAGUGAAGGUAUGAUACUGACAGUUGUAAUAUUUUGCAGGUACCUAAAGAUGAAGAUAUUGAUAAAGGGCGAAUAAUCCAUCCUCAGUCAAAGAAAGAACCACUUUGACCUAAUGUAAAGGUGAAGUACAAGAAGAAGGAGUGGGUAAUGAAAUAUCUUAAAGAGAAAGGAGUGGUGGAGAUUGAAGCACCAUACUCUAGACGUACCAAGAAAAUGGAUAGAAGGAAGCUGAUUAGUUGGUGCUCCAAAGGAACCAACUUGAAUGAGAAGACAUGAUUUGCUGGGGGACAUCCCAGUUGUUGUAAAACAUUAGUUCCUUUUAUUUUAUUUUGGACAUGUAAUUUUUGGAUUUUUAAACAAUUUUUGGGUAGCAUCUACUGAGGGAUGCUAAUUAUUUAUGUAUCUACUAAGGGAUACAGGUAAGUACACCUAAUGAAAGGUGUUGGGAAGCACUUACUGAUGAGUGCUAGAAGGUUUGGGUCAGGAUCGUGACGUUGAACAAGCGCUACCUGGGAGGCAAGCCAGUUGAUUGUUUCUUGUUUUUAAACAUUGUUCUAGUUGCAUUAUAGGUUUGAAUGUUGCAUAUGAGAGGGGAAGUGCAUAAAAUUAAAAAUUGAAAGUUGAAAUCAAGUGCUAUAGGUCUGAACACGUGAAGGUAAGCAAAGAAGAGAGAAAGAAAUUUUAACGCUCACCGCUAAGCCGUCCCUUGGACAUUGAGCGGUGGUGGCGCAGACCCUAACGCGAGGUUUUUAAAAGCUCAAUGUUUGGGGGUUCUUUGCACUUCAAAAACUUCUCUUCUGAGCUCGCUCAAGCGGUCUCUACAGACCCCAACACCUAGCUUUUACUUUCAAAAGCAUUCCAAAGGAUUUUUUCCACUUUUCUCAUCACCCACUCAUCAAAAUCUCAUAGUUCUUCAUCUUUCAACCAUUCCAUUGUCAAAAGUUUGGGGUUUUUGGUGAGAGCUUUGCACUGGGAAGCAUUCAUCAUCAAUUAAAAAGAGUUUGCAAGCAUUUAGAGGAUCUACACUCAAGUAAGUCAUGCAAUUUUAUUCUUAGGGUUUCGAGAAUUGAAAAUUGAUGAAGAACAUGUGUAGGAAUAUGAGAAAGUAGGGCUUUUGAUUUCUAUGCAUGAUUUGAUGAAAUAGAAACAUUUUGCAUCGAUUAAAUUGCAUGAAUUUGGUUUGGAACUGUGAAAUCUGUGAUUGAGUGGAGAUUAGAUUAUUUAGGAACAAGUUUUUGCAAAAACCUCGGUGCCGCCGUUGAGCGGUCAGUAGCGCGGAGCGAUGGGCGUCAGGUUUUGUUAUAUUGCUUGAUUUCUCUGAUGUAGGGGCGCUGAGGGGUCCUGUUCUUUCCUCAACGUUGGAAAUGCUUGAUUAGGUGUAUGAUUGAUGAUUUACUAACCUCUAAUGGUGAAUUUUCGUGGUUUUAUGAACUUUAUUUGAUGUAGGGAUGUCAUCAUCUUCAAGGAGGGUAAAGACCACUGGGAAAAAGAGGAAAGAGUCAGAGAGGCCGAGAAGAUUCUAUUCUCAUAGGUUCCUAUCUAGGAAACAUGAGGAGCACUUCCUGAUUGUGCAAGAGAGGAGACCGCUGAUUGAAAGGAAGGCUAUUUUUAUUUCAAACUUGGCUCCUCAGUUUGGAUUGGAGAUUGAGAGAAGAAACUGGGAGAAGCUGGCUACAUAUCCUGUGCCAGCUAGCAUUGAACUUGUGAAGGAGUUCUAGACAAAUGCCUUAUCCAGAGGAGGAGUGUCGAUGGAGAGGUAUACUAGCUAUGUUAGGGGGCAGAUUAUCCGAUAUGACCCCGAUACUAUGAACAGCUUCUUGGGCACUGAGUGGCCGGGUGAGCAGUGCCAGUAUGCACUGAACACAGGGGAGUUCAGAGAUCAUGAGGAUAUUGAGAGGGUUAUGUGUAUCCCUAGAGGACACUUUCAGAGGAACCCAAAUGGAGUGCCCAUCAACAUAAGGAGGGCAGAUCUGACACGUCUGACAAAGUACUAGAUGGCAUUCACUCAUACCAAUGUUCAUCCAUGCUCCCAUGUUUCUGACAUUACUAUGCACCGGAUCAUGUUCAUCUAUUGUAUGUUGAGGCAGAUGGACGUGAAUGUUAGUGAGGUCAUCUACUAAUGGAUGCCAAUGCUUAGAAUAGGGGUUUUAUCUUUUUCUUUUGUACUUUAAAUUUUUAGAAUAGGUUGAAUUCUGUUAAGCACUGUAGGUGUUUGUGCUUGGCUUGAACACUUUUUCUGAUUAUGGUUUGACUUGAUUGUUAUUGCAUGAUGAGUUUACUUGAUGAUGAUUGGAUGUGGAUGAUGAUUGAGUUUGUGUUACAUGCUGAUAUACAAGUGAAUUGUUCAUUGGUUGUGUGAAUAGAUGUGUGAUGAUUUAUGAUUGUGGUUAUGAUGCUAAGCGGGGUGUAUGAAUGAUAUUUGAGAGAGAAUAGUUGUGUGAGGUUUUGAGCUCUAGAGUGUUUGUUGAUAUAUGUGUUAUUCAUUUGGAAGCAUGAAAGAUAUUGCCUGAGUCUUUAUGAUUGAUUGUAUUAGAUGUUUAUGUCAUAUGAUCAAGGCCAUUUUUGGAAACCCUUACUUUGCCAAAUUUUCACCCAAAGUAAAGAGAACCAUGUGUUCUAACCUUUUUGAACCUUAGCCUUAAAUAGGAUGAAAACCUUUGCUCUGAAAAUCUUUACUGAGUUGGGUUGAGAAUAAUUGUACGGUAUUGAUAAGGUUCAAGUUUGGGGUUGUUGGGGGAAUUUGAAAGGCAAGAGAAAGGCAUUGAGCUCAAGUGUUGAAUAAAAGAAAAAGCAUGAGAAAAGAAAGAGAAGAAAAGAAAAAGCAUGAAAGAUUAGCUCAAUGUAAAAACAAAAAGAAAAAAGGGAAAGAAGUUGGGAAUGAGUUAGAUUGGUUAAAAGAGAAUUUGUGCUUGAAUGUUAAAAUAGCUCUCUUAACUCAAGGAUUUUGUGCUCUAGAAAAACCAAUUUUUCUUGUUAGCCCAGCCUCAUUAUAAGCCGUGAAAAAGUCCUUGUGAUGGCAUUUGUAUGUGAGAAUGUUGAUUGUAUUAGAUGAAGGGCAAUUUUGUUUCAUGUGACAUGUGAAUAACAAAGAGAUGGAGUGACCUCUUAAAAACUUGAGUGAUUGAGUGAAACACUUGCUUGGAGAGGAUUGAUAAAUUUUAUGAUUAUAUCUUGCUUAGUUGAUUGAUCAUUCAUAAAUAAGGCAUCUGUUGGAAAAUAUGUGAUCAUGUGAACUGAAUUGAAUUGAAAGCAUGUAUGCAUCUUGAUAAUAUUCCACUGAAAAUCUGAAUUGAGUAAUUACUUGUUGUGAGAAAAAUGAAUUUUGGGAUUGUUGAACUAUUUUAAUGAAAAGGUGGAAAGCCAAGUUUUGUCUUGUUUGCUUGAGGACAAGCAAAGUUCUAAGUUUGGGGUUGUGAUAACGGUCUAAAAACCGUUAUUUUUACACUUAAAUUUGAUAUCAAAACACACCCUUUAUGGCUUAGAAUGAGCUUAGAAUCAAGCAAAACACUUAGUUUAGUCAAAAGAGAGUCAAAAGUUGUUUUUAGAGAUAUUAUGCUUGUUCUUUAAUUGUUUUGUAGGAUUUGAUGAAAUUUGAGGAUUGGAGUGAAGAAGGGAGGAUUUAGGCUCAAGAAAAGAGGAUAAAAGGAAGAAAAGAAGAGUCAAGUUCACUGCUCAACGCCAAUUCCAGCGCUGAGCGCCAACUUCGAGGCUGAAGUCAUUGUUUCUCGGUUGGAUGACGACGCUGAGCGUCCUGCGACUUUGAGGUCCAUCGUUGAUAUGCGGGGCCCAAGCCCAAUAAAUAAAGACCAACAACCUAAAACCAAGGAAAGGGAUAAAGGAGACAUUUCCACACAUGGAGGGGUGAGUUUAGCAUAACAGGAGGUGCACCAGGAAUCCUUCCCAAAUUAGAAUGCUGUCACAUGCUCUUAUAGUGUAAAACGUGUUACACAUGUAGGCAUCUAGAAACUCAGCACAUUUUGCACAUGCUUGUACACGUGGAGUCCGAUCCGCACUUCAUGGACACACUUUAAGCACCGGCCAAGGAUGGUGAAGUCUAUAAAGCUCACCUUGGCUGCACCGUGUAUGCACUUUUGGGUGACAAUAGGGAAAACUCUGUUGAAAUGCGUUGUCAUUUUCUCCUUUCCGAGAGUCACUCCAUGCUUUACUUUCUCCUCUGCAACUUCCUUCCUUGUGUGAGGGCUUUCUGAGUUGUAGCCAUUCCAUUCAAAGCUUACCUGUGUUCCAAAUCACCUCUGCCAAACACCAUCCUCCGCUGCAACCAUCCCAAACACCUUUGUUCAAAGUAACCUCUCUAUAGUAGCCACGGUUCUGCAUCUGGAACUACCACUGCCGGUAUUGUUCCAUUGGAAUCCAGUUGUUGUAUUUCUUCUUUAAGCCUUCACUCUCACGGAUCUGGAAGAGUACAUCAAGCAUGGAUGUAUCAAGUGGUAUUCAGAGCAAGUUUCAAGCCAAAACCGUGAGAUAAGUGUCAUUUUCUUCCAUUUCCAUACUGUGAGAAAAAUCCUGCAAUGUCUUGACUCUGUCUUCAUGUGUUCUGGUUAUUUGAUUUUGAUUUAGGUUCUAUUUGAGUCUUCUUUGAUACUAGUUGUGUCUUGCUUGAGUCAUUUACAUUUUUAAUCGGUUAAUCUUUGCUUUUUGAGUCUUUUAGUUUGAGCAUCAUACCAUGUAUGUCACGGUCAUGUUCAUUUGAUUUUUUUUUCUGUCAUCAAAUCUGGUUUGAAACCAAGUUUUACCUAACUGAGAUUGGAGUAAAAUGGACAUGUCCUGCACCAUCAAAGAGCAAUGACCAUUCCUAUGAGGAGCUCAGGUGCUUAAAUUGUGCCAUUCAUCUCAAAUCUGUUUGAUUCGGUGCUAACUUGUAUUUUUGUUUGAACGUUGCAAUUUGCUGAAGCUGUGGUUGAUUUUUGGUCUGGUCUGUUAUUUUGAAAGUGCCAAAAUGUUCAACUAAAGCUGUUCCAAAAAGAAUACCAAUAAAGCAUUAUAUUGUUGUUGCAUUUGCUAUGGCAAUAUGAAUGGAAAGCCAUUGUUGCAUUGCUGGCUGCAGUAAACCAAUCUGCAGAAUUCUUAGUUUGGUAUAAUCUGCAUGUCAAAUUGAUUGAGCAUUAGAUCAUUGCCAAUCACCCAAAUCACUUUCUGCCACUUGGAGCAACUUUCUUUGACUGUAUUAAGUUCAGUUCAAUUGUGUUCAAGUUGAAUUAGCUUUGAUUGCAAAAUUUGGCUGUUAUAGUUGCUUAAAAAUGCUUGCAGCAGAACUGCCAUAGUCAAAUUCUGAGACACACUGAAUCUUGGUUGCAAUUGUGGUCAAACAAGUUUGAUUUAAUCAUUCAAACAUGCAUGAAACUGUUUAAGUUGACCAAUUGUUGUUCUGUGCAAAUUGCAUAUGUGACUUGCUAAAUUUUGAGUCAAAAACCGUAACAGUGCAGUGAACACAACUUCUGUUUCAAUUUCUAAAUUGGAUUUGAUUGAUUGGAUGAAUUGAGAAUGUAGUAAAAGCCUUGGUUACAAAAAUAUAAAUUGAACAUUCAAAAUAGUUGAAAGCAUAGUAAGAGGCUACAGGAACCAAUACAUCUGAAUUUCAUUUUUUGGCUCAGCUGGAUUAAACAACUUGUUCAGUAGAAAUUGCUAAUUCUCUGUGGCAUUUCUACAAACAGUUUGAGUCAAUUUCUUUGCAUCACUAUUUCGAAUCCAAUUUACAGGUCUGCUCUUUUAUUGUUUUUCUAAUCUACUCUAGAAUCAUUCUUAACUUCAUUUUGACGUGCCUCCUUCAUUGUUACCCUAUUAAUUGCUUGAUUUUUGGUUAUUGAACAUCUUGCACACAACCUGUUUGAUAAAAGAUGGAGCUUUACAUGAUGAGGGCAGGAAUAGUAGAGGCUUCAGAAAUUACUUUGGCAAGGUUUUUAAGUGGGCUUAAUUUUGAUAUUCGAGAUAGGGUUGAACUAUUACCUUAUAGAGAUUUGAAUGAUCUUGUUCAAAUGUGUAUAAAGGUAGAACAACAAAACUUGAGAAAAUCCUCUUCCAAAAGAGUUCAAGUUCACCCUAUUGUUGAAAAGGAAAAUUUUAAAGAAAAAGAGCUUUUUAAACCUCUAGCCAAGAUUAUUGUGAAACCUAAACAAGAGUCAUCUUCACACACUCGGACUAGUGAUAUUAAAUGUUUUAAGUGUCUUGGAAGAGGACAUAUAGCUGCCCAAUGUCCCAUAAAAAGAACUAUCAUCUUGAGGGGCAUUGACAAUUAUAGUAGUGAAUCCUCUAGUAGUGAGAAUGGGAGUGAUCAAGAAAAAUCCACUACUGAGGAAGUCUAUCCUUGUGAAGGACAACUUCUCAUGAUCAGAAAAAUAUUUGACAAUCAAUCCAGUGUAGAACAACUAUCAAAAGAGAGACUCUUUUUCACACAAGAUGUCAAAUUCAAAGUAACACUGUUAAAAUCGCUGCAACGGAAAUAUUAGCGUGGAACAAACCAAGAGGGGGGGGGUGAAUUGGUUAUAUGCUUUUAUCGUGCCUUUUAUUAUUUUUCUCUUAAUUUUUCUUACUGAGCAGAUAAUUAAAUAUAAAUAAGAGAGUAAGGGAAAGAGAAAAAUUGCACAGGUGAUUUUAUCCUGGUUCAGAUCACACGGAUCCUACGNNCANUCGCUUAUCUCAAACAAGAUAAACCUUUUUCACUAUCACAAAACAAUUACAAAUAUUAAUCACAGAGAAAAAUAAUUUGUAAGAGUUUAGAAAUACCACCUCUCUGGAAACCACAAGAGAUGAACUUACACCNCCUUUGAAUCUUCACAAAGGAUGACCACCUCCUUCGAAUGCUUCACGAAGGAUGAUUCUCUUCCAGGCACUUCCUCGGACACACCAAGGAUGAGUAAGCUAUUCCUNUGUCACCGCAGUAGCACUUCAGGGCUUUGCAGACUAGAGUUUCCUUAGCUUCAACAAUCUCACAGAGUUCUCAAAGAGUUCAGAGGUUCUUAGCACAAGGGAAGAGUCAUUUUUGAAAUAAAGAGUGAGCCAACUUAUAGACUCAGCCCAAUACCCUUCCAUUCUUCGAAAACGGGCCAUCUAACGCAUUUAAUCGAUUAACAUAAGUAUUAAUCGAUUAAAAUGAGUACAACGGCUAGUUUUUCAAAUUUGAAACCCCCAACGGCUAGUGUUAAUCGAUUAUUCUUAGGAAUAAUNNANUAAUCGAUUAUUAUUAGCUUUAAUCGAUUAUUACAGGGGCAGUUGGGUUUUCAGUGCCAGCCUCGUUUUAAUCGAUUAAAACUGGGUUUANUCGAUUAAAACANCUUGUGGAUGAUUCUCAACAGUAAAUAAAUCAAGUAUAAAUUACAAGAAUCAACCCUAAUACAUAUUUGAGCACUAUUACAUCAACUUUGAUUAUUAUAAAAGCUUUAUAAAAUACAGAGAUCUUCAAUUCAUCUUUAUGGAUCUUGACUUGUGCAAAUCUGUUCAUCAUCAAAACUUCAUCUUUUAUUUUUGCUAACAUUCUCCCCCUUUUUGAUGAUGAUCAAAAAAUUCUCCUGAGUUUAAAGCUUUUUAAUAAUCUGAAACAAACACAACUCACGAAAGGCGAGAACAAUAGAAAAAUAAAGAGUUUAAACUAUCUUCUCCCCCUUUUUUAUAAUAAGAAAAAAAAAUAUAUGCUCCCCCUUAAUAAAAGGAAAGUAUGCAUAGAAGAAAAAGAAAUGAACAACAACUUUUUAUUAAAAAAAAAACGCAUACAAUCAUAAAGGUAAUCUACUAAACAAACAAAGAGGAUCUAGAAUUCAUCACUUGCGUCACUAUUAAAGUGCCGCUCUAAUCCUGAAAUCCUAGUGUCUAGAUUCCUGAGAUGAGUACAAAUUUCUUCGUGGCGGGUGUUUUGAAUGUUCAUCAUCUCAUUUUGGAGGCGAGCCAUCUCAGUCAUUUGUCUAGAGAGACUCUCUAGACUAUAUUCCUCAUUCACUUGAGAUGGGCCAACAGCAUGUGUGGGGUCAAGCAUGGGGAUAUCCGCAGCUUCUUCUUCAUUAUCUUGCCCACCAAUGGCAUCAUCAGGGUGAAUGUAGGAGAGUCCUUGUUUGAUAAAACCCAUUUGCCUCAGGGAGUUAUCUCCAACCUUAUGACCCGGAAGGACAGUCUCAUGAUGUUCAUUUGUGACAUCGACUCCUUUGUACACACAAAAUUUGGAAACAAGAAAAGGAUAUGGAAGAGGUGCAACAUCUUACCUUUUGGCCUUGAACAUUAUUGUCUGAAUCAGGUGAGGCCAAUUGAGAGGAAUGCUCUGAAGUAUUCCAUACAUAAUUAUUAGAUCAGUCUCAGAGCAUUGGGCAUGAUUUGACCCUCUAGGGCACAAAAGCCACACAAUAAGGUAGUGCAAGAGGCGUUCUUCCAUCUUGAGUCCACCAACAAGGAAGAGACGAGCAUUGUGUUGUCGAGGAUUGCGGAGAAAUGACUGGUACACCGCUAUCUUGUUGAAUUGAGCAAAAUCAUUUGGAACAAUUUGAGAAUUUUCUAAAACAGGGACUUUUGCUACAUUUGUCCAAAUGUCAUUGUCCAAGACAAUGUCCACACCUUUCACCCUUGUUUGGAAAACCCCAUCACGAACCUUUAAAUUAAAAUAGAAGAUGCGAACAAGAUCAGGANAGUACCUUCCACNGAGUUCCAUUAGGUGUUGAACCCCUUGUUCAAUGAUUANAUUNGGAAAGGAGAAGUUGUAGGAUGUAUACCAAGCGAGAUCAAUGAAUUU
rnacentral:lncRNA from 1 species